rnacentral:lncRNA from 1 species
UAUUUUGCACUCCUAUUUAUUUGGCCACUUCAAUUUAGCCUAUACCAUUUUCAAACAUUUUCACAUAGGUCCUAUUUCAUAAUUUCACCCACUUUUUCUUAUGGAACAAAAAUUAACUAAAAUUGUCGGGUUCUAUCUUAAGCUUGGGCCUUCUAGAGGCCCACUAACAUAAUUAAACCUAUGCCAACAUUCACAAAAUUCCCAAAAAUUGGGGCGUUACAACUCUACCCCCUAAAGGAAUUUCGGCCUCGAAAUUUACCUGAUCCAAAUAGUUGAGGGUAUUGUUGACGCAUAGUCUCUUCUGAUUCCCAAGUAGCUUCUUCCCUUCCAUGAUUACGCCACAGUACUUUUACCAACGGAACCGACUUCCUUCUUAGAACUUUAACCUCUCGAUCUAAAAUUUGUAUGGGUUCUUCCUCAAAGGUCAAAUCAGUCCUUACUUCAAUCUCAUCCACUGGCACAACAUGUGAGGGAUCCGAUCGAUAUUGUCUUAACAUAGACACAUGAAAAACGUCAUGGAUUCUGUCUAACUCUGGUGGUAAUUCUAACUGAUACGCUACUGGCCCUACCCGCUUAAGAACUCGAUAAGGCCCUAUAAACUGCAGACUCAAUUUUCCUUUCUUGCCGAAUCUCAAGAUCUUCUUCCAAGGUGAAACCUUUAAGAAAACCAUAUCCCCAACUGCGAACUCUAUCUCUUUGCGCUUUAGAUCCGCAUACGACUUCUGUCUAUCAGAUGCCUCCUUUAAUCGAUCUCUUAUCAACUUAACCUUACUUUCAGUAUCUGCCACCAACUCCAGUCCAAGCACUUAUCGUUCACCCAACUCUGUCCAACACGUAGGCGUACGACAUCUCCGCCCAUAAGGUGCCUCAUAUGGAGCCAUCUGAAUACUUGCUUGGUAGUUGUUAUUGUAUGCAAACUCCGCCAAUGGAAAGUAGUCCUCCCAACUUCCAUGAAAAUCGAUGAUACAACCCCUUAACAUAUCCUCCAAAAUCUGAAUAACCCUCUCCGACUGUCCAUCUGUCUGUGGGUGAAAGGUAGUACUGAAAUCCAAACGUGUACCCAAUGCCUCCUGCAACUUCUUCCAGAACCGAGAUGUAAACCUAGGGUCUCGGUCAGAAAUAAUCGACACUAGCACUCCAUAUAGUCAUACUAUCUCUGCCACAUACAACCUAGCCAACUUUUGCAGGGAGUAAUCAGUACGAACUGGUAUGAAAUGGGCAGAUUUUGUUAACCUAUCCACCACUACCCACACAGAAUCUUUCUUGGUGGGUAUCAAAGGUAUCCCACUCACAAAGUCCAUAGUGACUCUCUUCCACUUCCACAAUGGAAUUUUCACCGGUUGCAGUAAUCCAGAAGGAAAUUGAUGUUCAGCUUUCACUUGUUGGCAUGUCAUACAUUUCCUUACGAACUCUGUUACUUCUCGUUUAAACCCAGGCCACCAGUACAGUUCUCGCAAGUCGUGAUACAACUUAUUCCCUCCAGGAUGCAUGGCACAAAGUCCUCCAUGAGCUUCCUUCAAUAUUGACUGUCUCAAGUCAUAAUCCUUCGAAAUACAAAUUCUUCCUCGGAAGCAUAAAACUCCUUCAGUAUUCAGUCCAAAAUCCUCAUUCUCACCCUUCUCAACUUGCUGAAACCGAAGGACCAACGAGUUAUCCUUCAACUGUUUUUCUUUAAUCUGCUCAGUCCAAAUAGGCCUCACUUGCAAUUCUGCUAACAGACUUCUAUCAUCAAACAGACUCAAACAUGCAAACAAGGCUCUCAAAUCAGAAACAACCCUUCGACUCAACGCAUCAGCCACCACGUUAGCCUUACCUGGGUGGUACUCAAUCGAACAGUCGUAAUCCUUAAGCAACUCUACCCAUCUUCAUUGCCUAAGGUUUAACUCCUUCUGAGUUAACAGAUACUUUAGGCUCUUAUGGCCCGUGUAUAUGAUACAAUUUUCUCCAUAUAAGUAAUGUCUCCAGAUUUUCAACGCGAAUAUCACUACUGCUUGCUCUAAGUCGUGCGUAGGGUAGUUCGCUUCAUGAGACUUAAGCUGUCGCGAAGCAUAAGCGACCACCUUACCCUCUUGUAUCAGUACACAUCCUAACCCCACAUGUGACGCAUCGUUGUACAUAGUGAAGUCCUUCCUAGACUCCGGUUGAAUCAACACUCGUGCUUCAGUCAAUACCUUUUUCAAAUGGUCAAAAGCUUUUUGCUGUCUCUCAGUCCAGACAAAUGCUACCCCUUUCCUUAACAGUUUCGUCAAUGGUGCAGCAAUCAAAGAAAAUCCUUCUACGAACCUUCGAUAAUAGCCUGCCAAACCCAGAAAACUCUGAAUUUCUGAUACUGAUUUUGGUGGCUUCCAUCCCAGAACUGCCUCAACUUUUCGAGGAUCCACUCUAAUUCCUUCAGCAGAAACCACAUGACCUAGAAAGGCCACUUCUCGCAACCAAAAUUCACACUUACUAAACUUUGCAUACAAUUCCUUCUCUCUCAGCACUUGCAGCACAAUACGUAGAUGCUCCUCAUGUUUCUCUUCGGUUUCCGAGUAUACUAGAAUAUCAUCGAUGAAAACUACCACAAAUCGGUCUAAGUAAGGUUGGAACACUCGAUUCAUCAGAUCCAUGAAAGCGGCAGGUGCGUUCGUCAACCCAAACGGCAUAACCAGGAACUCGUAAUGACCAUAUCGAGUCCUGAAUGUUGUCUUAUGAAUAUCCACUUCUUUUACCCUUAACUGAUGGUAUCUAGAUCGAAGGUCAAUCUUGAAAAAUAUCGAAGCUCCUCUAAGUUGGUCAAAUAAAUCAUCAAUCCUUGGCAAAGGGUAUUUGUUCUUUAUCAUCAGUUUGUUCAACUGGCGGUAAUCGAUGCACAUGUGCAUUAUCCCGUCCUUUUUCUUCACAAAUAGCACCGGUGCUCCCCAUGGAGACAAGCUUGGCCUAAUGAAGUCCCUAUCCAACAACUCUUGAAUUUGAGCCUUUAACUCCACUAACUCAUUCGGUGCCAUCCUAUACGGUGCGAUGGACACAGGCGCCGUUCCAGGCAACAAAUCUAUUCCAAACUCAACUUCUCGGUUCGGAGGCAAUCCUGGAAGCUCAUCCGGAAAAACAUCUUGAAACUCUUUUACGGUCCUAACCUUAUCCACUGACAAUCCCUCCCCUUUCGACUGACUUACAAAUGCCAAAUAGGUCUCAUAACCUUUUCGAAUCCACUUUUUGACUCUCAAUGCUGACACCACAUUGGACAAAUAAUCCCUUCGCUCGCCUAUCAUCAUAACCUCCUCACCCUCCGUGGUCCUUAACACCAUUCGUUUUGCAGCACAAUCCAAAGUCGCCCUAUGCUUAACAAGCCAGUCCAUUCCCAGAAUGAGGUCAAACUCUCCGAACGGUAACUCCAUCAGAUCUCCAGGGAAAACCUUUCCUUGAGUUUCUAAGGGUACAUCCCUAUAUAGUUUGUCUACCCUAACCGAAUGACCUAAAGGACUUAACACAGAUACCCCACUUACCAUCUUCUCAGAGUGCACACCCAACAACCCAGAUAUGGCACAUGCAACAUAGGAAUGAGUAGAUCCAAUAUCCACCAAAGCAGUAUAUGGAAUGCCAGAAGCCAAGAACGUACCAGUUAUGACGUCAGAUGCGUCGCCCUCAUCUCGACGACGAGCUGCAUACACCAAAGUUGGCUGUCGAGCUUCAGCAUUUUCGACACCCCUGCCAGGUGCCCCCCGACCUCGACCGUUUCCAUUUCUACCCCUACCUUGUCCACAUCCUCUCGGUGGUUGGGGUCUACCCCUUACGGGUUGAACAAUCCUCUGUUCAGCAACUUGAACUUGAUCAGCUUUCUGAGGGCAGUCCCCUACUCUAUGCUCCAUAGAUCUACAUCGGAAACAAGCACCAGAGCGUUUCCUACACUCGUCCAAAUGUACCUUACCACAGUCUCCACAGAUUGAUGGUCUGACCACAUUCAUCGGCACUGCUCGAACUGGUUCCUCCACUCUUGCUCUCUUAAUAAUCCUAUUUGCACCAUCCGAGGGUCCUGAAUCCCUCCGAAAACGGUUCCAAUCCUUCUCCCGAUUCUGCUUUUCAGCACGCUUUACCUCUUCAGCUAUCUUAGCCUUUUCCACCAAAACUGUAAAGUCCUGCUCCCUCUGCGGAGCAAUCAACACCUUAAGAUCAUCUCUAAGACCAUCCUCAAAAUGCACACUUCAUUCAUAUUUCGUAGUGACUAUGCCCACGGCAUACCGGCUUAGCCUUAGAAACUCGGCUUCGUACUCAGCAACUGUUUUACCUCCUUGCAUCAGAUUCAAGAAUUCCUUUCUGCGGGCGUCCACAUAACUCGCCCCAACAUACUUCCCUUUAAAGGCCAUCUUAAACAGUUCCCAAGUUACCCUAUCAGCUGGGGUUCCUUCUCUCACAGUGAGCCACCACUGGUAAGCCUCGUCCCAUAGCAACGAUACGGCUCCCUUCAGCUUCUGCUCCACAGAGCAAUCCAAGUCAUCCAUAAUUCGUUCUGUGGCCUUCAACCAAUAUUCUGCCACAUUCGAGGCGAUACCAGACACACCCCUAAAAAUCUCCGCUCCGUUGGCCCGGAGUCGUUCAGAAAUCGAUCCUCGAAUUCCGUUGCCUGAACUUAUCCCGGUAACCCUUUCCAGAACACGAAGCAUUGCAUGCGACAGAGCUUCAUCCCUGGCACCACGAUCAUGAGAUUCCACUUCCGUUGUCGAUGGUACCGGUGCAUCUGCCACCGGUAUAUGUCCCAAAGACUAAGAUACCGCUCGAGCCCUUCCUCGGCCACGUCCACGGCCUCUUCCACGAGUAGCUCUUGUAUUCAUAUCGUAUUAUCUGUUUACAAAUUUUAUGCAUUAACUUAGUAUUCCAGUGAUUAUUACAAAUGUUUUAUGAAUCAGACAGUAAUUCAAAGUUUGUUUUCGCAGAAUCGAAGUCUAGCUACAGUUUCAAUCUCUUAUCAGAUUUUCCUAUGGUUUCAGUAUCAUCCUAUCUAGAGUGUCCUAGUAGGGUUUCAGUACAGACAGAUAAUUCAGGAAAAUAUUUAGAAAAAUUCAGAAUACUUACAGACUUGAGCCGGGGAUUCGGAAUGCCACAUUCUAAAGAUCUAAAUUUUGAGAAUCGAGUUUUUCACAUUCUUUAUAAAAUUUUCGCUUUCGAAAAUCUUUGUUUUUGUAAACCCAUUUCACAGCCGAGUUGUUACAACCUAGGCUCUGAUACCACUAAAUGUAACACCCCAAACCCGGCCCAGACAUUAUGACCGGAUCCGACAUGCCACAUCGAAGCGUUUAAAACAUUUUAUAUUGUUGAUCCAGAAAAACUUACUUAGUGUUUUAAAAGAUAAUUUCAUUAUAGGUUAAAGUGAAUGGAAGCUGUGCACCAGGUAGGAAACCGGAAAAGAGGUGGUGAGUCCAUCGGACUGCUUAAGUACCAAGCUCCCUUCGGAUCCAAUCCUAGACAUGCAUACCACCAUUGCCACACCUUAACGUCAUGGAUAUUUUAGGAAACCGAUUUGAUUAAGUCAUUUUUAGGAAAAAUGAUUAAUUUUGGAAAAUACUUUCAUUGCGGAAGCUUUGCUUGUUGUCGUGUUAUUUUGAAAUCAAUUGUUGUUUUUGAAAACGCGCCCUAAAGCUAUCCAAUUUUGACAGUUAAAAUAAGUAAUACCUAUCUUAGUAAUACAUAUUAAAACCAUCAAAAAUAAUUAAGCGGCCUUAUUACAUUUAAAAACCCAAAACUUCAAACGUAAAUAAAAGGAUGUCCAGUUCACCAGAAGAAAAUCAAACUUUCAGAACGGGUGGCCAGUCCGAAUUCCCUCACAGCUCCAAGCCCACUAUGGUUGGGGAUUACCUGCGUGGAUGAAAAUAAAAGGGGUGAGUUUGUGGAAACUUAGUUUGUAAAAUAACCCAACCAUAGUCUAAAUCAGCUAAACCCACAGAAACAGAAUAAGUUGGCCUUAGCCCAGAACAGAAUUCAGAAUAAAGCCCAUAGGCCCAUAACAGAACAGAACAGAUAUUACAUGUUUAUGCAGAAACCCAACCCAGGGUCUUCAGCUUUCUGCCGUCUGCCAUGGCCACCAACUCUCCCCACUUGCCCUCUAUCACCGGACUGCUCCACCUGCACAGCAAAUGACACACGCAACAGCAACGAAAGGGGAAACAGAUAGUAUAACAAGUGGGCUAUAAAAGCCGAAUGUAAAAAACAGGUUGGGGGGAUUUUUAUUUUCUUUUUCCUGCGAUUGAAAUGAGCAUAGACAUUUAAAACAAAAAGAUAUAGAUCUUUGCAACAUCAAAAAAACAGAAGAACAAAGCAAACUAAAAUACCAAAAGUCAAAAAACAAGGGAUUCAUGGUGAUUUUAAUUCUUUUCUUCUUUUUUAAUUUUGAUUUUGUUCUCAUAUAUGCAUACAUAUUACGAAUAUAAAAAAAUAUAAAAAAAGAGAAUUUUUUUAAAACUUAUAUAGGGGUCUGGAACGGCGUCGUUUUGGGCCUUGCAUUUAAGCACUGAAACGGCGUCGUUUCACCAUGCCCAACCCGUUCGACCUGAACCCGCUUCAGGAUCUGUGUAGCACCCCAAACCCAGCCCAGACGUUAUGACCGGAUCCGACAUGCCACAUCGAAGCAUUCAAAACAUUUUAUAUUGUUGAUCCAGAAAAACUUACUUAGUGUUUUAAAAGAUAAUUUCAUUAUAGGUUAAAGUGAAUGGAAGCUGUGCACCAGGUAGGAAACCGGAAAAGAGGUGGUGAGUCCAUCGGACUGCUUAAGUACCAAGCUCCCUUCGGAUCCAAUCCUAGACAUGCAUACCGCCAUUGCCACACCUUAACGUCAUGGAUAUUUCUAGGAAACUGAUUUGAUUAAGUCAUUUUUAGGAAAAGUGAUUAAUUUUGGAAAAUACUUUCAUUGCGGAAGCUUUACUUGUUGUCGUGUUAUUUUGAAAUCAAUUGUUGUUUUUGAAAACUGACCCUAAAGGUAUCCAAUUUCAACAGUUAAAAUAAGUAAUACUUAUCUUAGUAAUACAUAUUAAAACCAUCAAAAAUAAUUAAGCGGCCUUAUUACAUUUAAAAACCCAAACCUCAACGUAAAUUAUAGGAUGUCCAGUUCACCAGAAGAAAACCAAACUUUCAGAACGGGUGGCCACUCCGAAUCCCCUCACAGCUCCAAGCCCACUAUGGUUGGGGAUUUCCUGCGUGGAUGAAAAUAAAAGGGUGAGUUUGGGGAAACUCAAUGUGUAAGGAAAACCCAUUCAAAGCCCAAGUCAACUCAAGCCUAUUGGGCCUAAGCCCAUUCAGGUAACAGUGGUACUGGACCAGAGCCCUUUUCAGAUUACAAUAAACUGGGCCUUAGCCCCUUAUUCAGAUAACAAUAUGACCCAUAGGCCCAUUUCAAAAUACAUGCAACAUCAAUAACAUAUGCAAGCCCAUUUGGGGAGACUACUCAACCCACCAACCACUACACUCCACCCGUACCAGCCAUACAAUCCAUGUGGGGAUAGCUCAACCCACCCAGCCCAACAGUCCACAGUUGCAGCAUUGCUGCUCAGUUAACAGUAAAUUGAGGCAAAGCCUCCAGUACGUGGACAAGCCACUUUCAGUACUUCCUCCGUCAAUAUCCCAAUCCCAUGCAUCAGAUAAUAACAACAUGGCAUGCAGUAAAUAACAACAGUCAAACAUGCAUUUAAGUCAAUUUAACCCUAGGGGUAUUUUGGUAAUUUAUCUCCUAGGGGUAAAACUGUAAAUUUUCCACUUUUAAAGUUAUUUCAGUAAUUUAUCUAUUUUAGGUUUUUUCAUGCAUAUUUUUACUUUUCACGUACUAACAGAAUCACGUACCGAGGGUUCUUACCGAAUUGGGCCCGUUGGCCCAUCAUUCCAAUUUUGUCCCAUUAAGCCCAAAAAUAUCGAGGGCACAGAAAUCAUGCACUUUGCAGUCCAAAUUUUGUAGCUUACCAAAAACAUUAAUCGAUUUACCUCACGAGCAUUCACACACUCGCAAAUCUAUAAAAUACCGAUUUUCGGCAUUUCAGCUUUUCGACUUUUGCCGAUCCAGACUAAGAAAGAGGGUAUUAGUUACACACCUGUUUGCGACGAUAUGCUGACGAGAUCCACAUACGAACCGCCUACAAUUGGAUUACUAUCACGUUAAUCUAACUAUUCAAAUACAAACUACGUAUUAACCCCUUACAAUAUUUGGCCAACCACACCUACAGAUCAUAGUAAGCUUACCACAUAAUCAUAAUUUCACUGCAAGCUGUCUUCCUGAGCAACAGUCACUAAAUCAUUUAUAACUGGAGCUACGAAACUCCAAAUCAAGUGACGUUAAUUUUACCUGAAAAUAGACUCAUAUAUCUUUUAUCCAUAAAAUUUUCAGAAUUUUUGGUUUGGCCAAUCAAUACCAGAUUUUUCUCAAAGUUUCGCAUGUUUCACUGUUUGACUAAUCUGACCACUCUUCAUUACGAAUCAAAUUUCUCAUUGUACAGAAUUCAAAAUAUGUUCUCGUUUAUUCCAUUUGAAACUAGACUAAUUAAGCUUUAAUUAAAUAAUUUAUGCAGCUUCUAACUCAUCUCCCACAAUUUAUGGUGAUUUUCCAAAGUCACGUUACUGCUGCUGUCCCAAGCAGAUUUAUUACCAAAUCACUCUUUCACACAUAACUUGCAUGCAUGUUUUUUUUUUAAACAUGUAUAUCACCAAUAAAUCAUCACAUAUCUAUGAUUUUACUUAAGUAUAAUCUCCAUUUCAUCAUUUUAAAGCACAACAUAUUAGCCGAUUUUUCCCCUUAGCAUCUAAGCACAUGCAUGCUCAUUUGUUUGGCUCAACUUCACAUAUCUUCCAUUUUUCAUCAAAAGAACAUGAAACAACGACCAUUUCCUUCAUUUUAAUUCAUGACCAAAUGCUCACAACACAACCAAAAACCAAAAUAUGCUUCAAGAGUUAAGGUAGGAUCAAGAAGAACUCAUGAACAUCAAGAUAGAAGCAAACUACCAUGAACUUACCUUCAAUUUUCUUCCCCAAGUGACCGAACAUUCAAGAGCUUUCUCCUCUCCUUUCUCUUCUCUAACUUUAGGCUAUGAUGAACAAAGAUGGACAAAACUUUGUUCUUUUCACCCCUUUUUCUUUUAAUAAAAUUUCAUAUUUCAUCCAUUUAAUUCUUUAAUACAAAAGACAUGAAAUUUCAAUCAUGGAACAUUUACCUAACCUAUUAUCAUAAAACAUUUACCUAACCCAUUAUCAUGGAACAUUUACCUAACCCAUUAUCAAUUUGUAUCAAUUUGUACCAUAAAUUAUGGAUAUCAAGUGCACAUUUUGUCUACAACAACAUGAUGGCUGGCCACUUCAUGUAAAAUGGGAGGUUUGUCAUGCAAAUCCUCCUAUUUUGCACUCCUAUUUAUUUGGCCACUUCAAUUUAGCCUAUAGCAUUUCAAACAUUUUCACAUAGGUCCUAUUUCAUAAUUUCACUCACAAAUGACAAAAUUAAAGCAUGAAAUUUUGCCAACAUUCAUAGGAUUCCCGAAAAUUGGGGCGUUACAAUCUGCGUGUUUUUAACUCAAUGGUAUAUUUAUGCAAUUGGUCCUUCCGUAAUUUUAUUUUUCACAAUCAAGUUAUCUUUGGAUUACAGAUCGGCCCUGAAAUUUAAUCGGUUUUAUAAAUUGGUCCCUUUCAAUGCGCAGCGUUUUAAUAACUGGGAAUAUUGCGCUUUCAAUCCCCCUUAGUGUCGCCCGUGUUCUAAUAAGUCCUUCUCUUUAUUUUUAUUUAUUGCCCCAAAACUUUGUUUUUGUUUUAAAUUUAGUCCUUUCUUCAGAUUUAAGUUUAUUUUUGUACUGUCUUUAUUUUCCUUUUUAUAUAUUAUUAUUGUUAUUUUUAUUCCUCUUAUAUUUAUUACUAAUAUAUUAUUAUGAUAGUUACCACUAUAUAUAUAUUACGUAUAUAUUUUUUAUAAUGUAUCUAUGUAAUAUAAUUACUAAGUUUUUUAACAUUAAUAGUAUUUAUAUUUGUAUAUUAUGUAAGUGUUCUAAUACUAUAUCAUAUAUACACAUGCAUUUUUCAUAUUAAUAUAUAUAUGUUUUUAAUAUUAUAUUAUUAUGUAUAUGUUUUAAUAUUAUUAGCUAUCUAUCUUUCAUACUAUUUUAUGUACAUUUCUAGUACCAUCGUAUAUUAUAACAUCAUUAUUAUUUAUAUAUAUCUAUGUACGUAUCUAUAUAGCGUACGAAUAGUCUUUUUUAUUACCAUUUCUAAUAUAAAUAUAUAUAUACAUCAUAUAGGUUUAUAUACAUAUCAUACAUGUUUCAUUAUUUUUAUUUUUAUUAGUUAUAUAUAUUAUUACUAUUUUAUGUAUAUAUUUUUAUCUUUAUUACUAUUGUUGUUAAUCUUAGUAUAUGUUUUAUAUAUGUACGUAUAUAUCUCUAGUAUAUAUAUAAGUAUAUAUCCAUGUCGUAUUGUAAUAGGUUUUUUAUUUUCAAUAUGUAUAUAUUAUGUAAAUGUUUUGAUGUUAUAUUAUAUAUGCAUUUUUUAUAUAUUAUGUAUAUAUAUAUUUUCAAUAUUAUUAAUUUUUUUAUAUACUAUUCUAUGUACAUACUUCCAUAUCACCUUAUAUAUAUAUUCCUAAAUACUAUCAUAUGUAUAGGCAUAUUUUAUUACCAUAUUGUGUGUAUAUUAUUAUUACAUUUAUUUUAUUCCUACUAUAUUUAUUAUUAAUAUUAGUACAUAUAUUCUAUAGUUUUUGUAUACAUUUUUUAUAUAUAGUAUUAUUUUCAUAUAUCCUUAUAGUUAUUACUAUACUUAUUAUUUUAUUCUAAUGUUAUUAUGUAUUCAUUUUAAAAUAUAUAUACAUGUAUUUAUAUAGUAUUAUCAAUGUAUAUAAUUUUCUUUAUGUUAUUAGUAUUUGUAAUGUACUUUGUACAUAUUCAUUAUAUAUUAUAUAGGUAUGCAUUAUGCGUGUAUUUUAGUGUUACUAUGUACAUACAUCUUUCAAGAUUUAAAUUUUUUUAUAUACAUCAUGUAUAUAUUGACAAUAAAAGUAGUAUAUAUAUAUUUUGACUAUUUCAUGUAUAUAUUUCAAAUAUUAUAUAUAGUAUAUUUCUGACACUACUACUAUUCACAUAUAUAUAUUUUGGCGUGCAUAUUCUUAAUACCAUUAUUAUUAUAUAUAUUCAUUGUUUUCUCGUAUUUGAUACUAUUAUUACGUUUAAUCUCGCAUGCAUUGUUAUUGUUUUUUUUUUCAUUAUUGUCAUAUUCGUUAUUUGCUUCCAUAUAUUUCUGGCUCUUUUAUUUAUUUUUAUUUCACAUCACUUUACUUUGCAUUAUUUCGAAAAUCUUAUUUUUGUUUUUAAUAAGUGAGGCAAUGUAUCGAUUUAACAUUAAACCGUAAGUUUCAUCGCUAUGUUGGAUGGAAUUUGUCGGCUCGUGUUAAAACGGUAUAUCCUUCUCAAAAACCGAAAACUAAAAUUUCAUGUCUUUUCAAUUGGAUCGCGACUAAAUGUUACAUUGAAUUCGUAUUUUUGAAAAUCAAGACGACACAUGUUUAUGAGAUACCAAUUUUGGGCGUCGCGAGGGUGCUAAUACCUUCCUCGCGCGUAACCGACUCCCGAACCCUACUUUUUCUCUGGAUUUUAACGUAGACCCAAACUCAGCCUUCUUUUGUUUUAAAAAUAAAUUUAUUAGGUGUCCGAUCACACCUAGGAAAAAGGAUCGAUGGCGACUCCCCCUUUUAUAAAACCGAGAUUCUAGUUUCAAGUUUUCAAUAAAUCAUCACAAUUAGCGACCAAGCUAAAAAAAUUUCACGUCGCUACAGCUGGCGACUCCACCGGGGACCCCUUUUUGAGAGUCGUGUUUGGAAUUAAACUCCCGUUGUCAAAAUUUUCAAAGUUCCUUGUUCAAAUUAAUAUUUAGUCAUGAUCCUCAAGUUUUGUUUUCGAAAAAUCAUACAUUCGCAUUAUGUUGUAAAUAUCUCCUAAUUUGUUUUAUCUUUUGUUUUUGAGCUUUAAGUUUUAUGGUUUUAGUUUUGUAGUUUUUUUAAAUAAAACGUAAAGGUUUGUGAGUUUCUCCCCACACACCGUGCACGUGCAUCUUUGCAUAACAUGAGCUCUAUACCUAGGCUCCGUCCGUUUAAGUGAAAGUAGACGCUAUGCCUUCGUGAGUUAACUCGUCCCUCUGCACAGGCUAGUGAAUACAUUCGGGUUACAUAUGACUUAUGCUUUCGUGAGUUAACUUGUCACUCCGCAUAGGCAUAAGUAAAUGUAAUCCCUCGAAUUGAACUCGUGAGCCUGUGAUGGGCUACAACUGAGGCUUCGUACUAAUCUUAGUAGAUAACAGUACGAACAAUUCGAGUACCUAUCUAGAACCGAAAUCGCAUAUAGUGAACCAUAUGAGCCACCUAAUUAGAGCCAUGCCGAACCUCUGUCCGUUAAUAGUCACCAAAAUAAGUACAUGGGAGACGCGCUUAUUACCUUUUAUCUCUUUGACAUUUGCCCUUUUUAUCUAAAUUUACCGUAAUUUAUAUUUGUUGUGGUUACUAACCAAGUUUGUUUGUUUUCAUUCUUAUUUUACAUAAUGCAUUAUAGGCAUCAUAUUAGGAAGGUGUUGACUAGAGAUUUGGUUGCCAAAAAACGGGUUUCUAAUGGAAGAGUUAAUUAUACAAACAACCGAGAAGAAUGCCGUGGUUCGGGAUUGGUCUCUAAAAACUCAGAAAGAAAAAAGGGAUAGUCUAGUGGAGGGAUGUAUUGCCAAUCUGCCCGAGCACGUAACUGUGAAUGUUCACCAGAAUAACCUUGAAGAUUUGGUUCGGGUUUGGAAUCAGUGGGACUCAGACAUUAGGGGUAUCUUCACCGAGAGAUAUGGAGACAUAGCCAAUUUGAUUGCCGUCAACAUAGACAAACGAUUGAUCCAAGCCAUGGUCAGAUUUUGGGAUCCAGCUUACCAAUGUUUUACCUUCAAUCAAGGAGAUAUGACUCCGACUAUAGAGGAGUACGUUGCUUUGCUUCGUGUUGAAAAUGCGUAAUUCCAUAAAGUAUAUAUGAAGGAGCUUAAGCCGAUGACCUUCAAGAAGAAGUUAGUAAGAUUGACAGACAUGACUGACGCAUGGGCCGAAAAACAGAUAAAGAAGAAGAAUGAAACCAUUUGCAUCCCAUGGUCUUCCCUAUGAGAUUUGGUUCUGAACCAUCCCGACAUGUUGAAAAGAGUAAAUCUAUUUGCUUUGGCCAUUUACGGUUUGAUCAUAUUCCUGAAAGUCCUUGGACACAUAGAAGUCGCGGUGGUGGAUUUCUUCAAAAAAUUAAAACAAGGAAUCAACCCUGUCCCGACUAUUCUAGCCGAGACCUUCAGAUUCCUGAGUAGUUAUCGGAGAAAAGGGGAAGGACGAUUUAUCGGAUGCGCGCAGUUGCUGAAUGUUUGGAUUUUAAGCCAUUUCUAAAAAGUAGAGCGCAGACCGUACCACAUGUUUUCAAAAACUUUUGCCCCAUUGGAAGCCCAUAUUAAGAGAGAAUAGCCAAAGGAUGUCACCGAAGAACAUUGGACUUCAGUUUUUCAAAACCUUCGAGCAGAAGAUGUAACUUGGAGAGCACCGUGGAUCCGCCUUUCGAUUCUAUUAUACAAGGUUGGAAAUCAAGAUUGGGUACCACUACUCGGGUUAUGGGGAGGAGUUGGAUACGUCCCGCUAUUAGUCCAAAGGCAAUUUUCUUCGUGACAAUUCAUACCCGCCACUGGAGGAUUAGCACAGUCCGAGUUCACUUUUACGGGUGAAGGUAUAUGAAGAGGGUCUGAGACACUGUAAAGUCUUGAAAGAAAAUUCAUCUGAUGGAAUUGGCCCUAUAUGCUGACACCCUCACCUAAGAUUACGACAUCUGGAGGAAGCAAAGGGUGAAUAGUCAGCAAAUCUCGUCAACGAACUACACUGUCCAGAAUCCUUUCUCGGAGGAAAUGUCGUCUGAGCUAGAAAUGGCAAGACAAGAAUUUGAACGAGAAAAGGCCAAGAUGUCUCGGGACCUUAGUGCUCUUCAAGAGGAAAACUACCAAUUGAAGAUCGACGUUCAGAUUGAAAGAUCCAGAAUCGAGAAAGUACAAAAAGAGGCUGAAGUCGUAAGGAAUGACUUAAGAGAUCUUCAUCUGGAAAAUAAGAAGUUAAGAAGCACAAUAAAGAAUAGUGGGCUGGGCAAGUCGUCGGCAGAAUGGAAGGAAGAAAUAAGCAACAUCAAAGGCGGGAUGGAAUUUUGGAAAGGAAAAGCGAAGAAAGAGGAGGAAAAGGCUACGCGGGCUAUCAUGGAGCUAAGGAAAAAGAACACCGAAUAUGAAGCUGUGUUUGCCGAGGUAAUGACUAGUCGAUCUAAAUGUCAAGAACUAAAAGAAAGGAUACAAGAGUUAGAAGAUAUGCUGCAAGAUCGUCAACAACAGCUAGAUACUCUCUUGAAGGCUUUGGAAGAAAAAGAUAGUCAGUAUGAUAGAGACAUUCGUGCUUACGAAGAGGGCCUCCAAGAAAAAGAAAUGCAACUUAGCUAUUUGAUCAAUGAAGUUCGUGGGGUAGCCAUGCACGUGGUACAAUUAUCGGAAGAAGCUGAAAUUCUCAUUUUCCAAUUCCCUCCAAGUCGAAGAUUUCAUCAAAAGAGUUCUUAGCACGAGUAAAGAAAUAUGGAGAUAUAGCUAGGAAGUUUGUGUAAUAGCUGAAUCAAAAAUGGCAAAAUAUUUUGUAAUGAACUCUUUUGAUGAAUGAAAUGCCUAAAAUAGGGGCUAUCUUGAAAUCAACACCAACUUCUUGCAUUUCUUUCAUGACUAACAUUCAUUUGGCAUUUAUGCAUUCAUUCAUUGAUUCAUUUAUUGCAUAUCCCAUAAUCAUUCGCUAAGGUUAAAAUAUACAAUUCGCAGUUGUAAUACCACAAGCCUGGAACCACGUCAUUCUUAUAGAACGCGUCGACAAGCUAGGGCAAUGGAGGCUGAAUUCAAUGAAAGAAUCGAAAGAAUGGAAAGAAUCCAAAGGGAAUGACAAGAGCAGUUGGCCAAGUCACAACAAGAGACAAGAGAUUUAAUGGUGAGAUCUCGAGAAGAAUCACUCGAAUAGAAGGAUCAAAUGGCCAAGAUGAUGGAAAUGAUGUCAGCUUUAGUUAAGGAAAAGGGACCCAUACAGAGCCCUGACGUUGAGAAACCUCGGUCAAGAGUUAAUCACAGUCAAGAUCCGCUCUAUCCCCCAGGAUUCACUCCACCUUACGCACGUGUAAUGCAAAGAGGACGCCCUCAAGGAGAACCUACAGGCCUGGAGCAACGACCCGUACCACCUGCUAAUAUGGAGUAGGGAGUGUUCAUAUCAAACCCGGGGGCUAGUCCUACUGAUCCGCUCAUUCCAGAUUUGGACGAUCCAGCAGAAAUAGCCAAGUUGAAAACCGGUGAUCACGAGGCUCAAGAGAAGUAUAGGAGCUUAGAGGAAAGACUUAAAGCAAUAGAGGGUACUGAAGCCUUCUCUGUACUGAGUGCCAAAGAGCUCAGUUUAGUGCCCGAUCUGGUUCUGCUCCGAAAUUUAAAGUACCAGAUUUCGAAAAAUACGAUGGCACGAGAUGUCCAAAGGCGCAUCUUGUCAUGUUUUUCCGGGAGAUGACUGGUUACGUGAAUGAAGACAAGCUACUCAUACAUUGUUUUCAGGAUAGUCUAGUAGGAUCGGCUAUUCGGUGGUAUAACCAGCUUAAUAGGGAAAAGAUCCGAUCCUGGAAGGACUUGGCGUCAGCUUUCUGUGAGCAAUACAAGCAUGUAUCGGAUAUUGUGCCUGAUCGAAUGACCCUACAAAUGAUGGAAAAGAAACCAGAAGAAACCUUUAGACAGUAUGCGCAAAGGUGGAGAGAUAUCUCGGCCCAAGUGGAGCCUCUACUGACUAAGACUGAGAUAACAGUCCUUUUCAUCAAUACUCUGAGAGCACCAUUCUAUGACAAGCUGGUGGGAAGUGCUACGAAGGAUUUUUUGGAUAUCAUAAUAUCUGGAGAACUUAUUGAGAAUGCCAUCAAAAGUGGGAUGAUGGAAGGUUCAGAAAGUUCAAAAAGGGCAGCGCCCAUAAAGAAUAAAGAACCAGAAGCCCAUAUAGUGGGAAUGGGAAGCCGUUAUACCUCUAAUCCAUAUCCAAACCAGCCCCGACCUCGAAAUUAUUCACCUUCGAAUUUCUAUUAUCCUCCUCAGACCCCUUAUUACCAAGCAUCACCUCCUUCCUAUCCCGUAUAGGCCAUGAACAACCAAAGGCCCGUCACCACAUUCCCACAAAACACUCUACCCGCUCAAAGCCAACCCAGAAAUGAACCAAGACCAAUAAGGCCCAAUCCCGAGAGACCGCAAUUUACCCCUAUCCCUGUGUCGUAUGGGGAACUGUACCCAAAACUCUUGGAGAGGCAAUUAAUAUCUCCCCAUUACAUGGCACCCCUUAAGCUUCCAUACCCGAAAUGGUACGAUCCAAAUGCUAGUUGUGCAUACCAUGCUGGGAACCAGGGGCGCUCAACGGAAAACUGCCUGGCCUUCAAAAGGAGAGUUCAAGGACUCAUUGAUGCGAGAAUUCUGCGAUUUGAUGGCACUGGAGGUACAUCCGGGAACCCCUUCCCAAACCACGCCGAAGGGAAUGUGAGCGUAGUGGGAGAGGAGGACAAACGACAAAGUAGAAAAUGAGUUUCUGAAAUAAGAACACCUCUACAGAAAAUCUGGGAGGUGCUAGUUGAAAAGAGGUUGCUCUGUCAUCUUAACAGAGUAUCCGAGGGAAGAAAUACAAAAGGUCAAAGUUUUUGCGAAUUCCAUGGUAUUGAAGGGCACAACAUUCAAUCCUGCGAAGAGUUCAGGAGGUUACUGCAAAAUAUGAUGGAUAAUAAGAAGAUUGAGAUUUUUUAUAAAGGCAAAGAGGCCGAUAGAGGAGAAAUAUGCGCCUCUGACCAUCAAUCGUCAGGUUUCCCGUAUAGCGCCGACCGACUAUUAAUAAUUUAUUACGACGCAAAGAAGGAGCCGGUGAAACCAAAAUUGAUAAUCGAGGUGCCAUCUCCUUUCCCUUACAAGGACAAUAAAGCAGUACCAUGGAAAUACGACGUCAAUAUCAUUACACCUGAAGAUGAAAAACCCAAAGCCAUGACUGGUAGUGUUGGGGAAGUAGGUCAUUUCACUCGUAGUGGGAGAUGUUAUUCAAAAGAGAUUGAGCAGACAAAGAAGAAUAGUGACUUGAAAUAGAAAGGAAAAGCACUAAUGCAUAUGAACGAAGAUGAGCAUUAAACUGUGCCUGAGCAAGAAGCUAAAAAGCCUGUGGACGAGGAGGAAGCACAGGAAUUCUUAAAAUUUAUCAAGCACAGUGAGUACAACGUGGUGGAACAAUUGAGUAAGCAGCCAGCACGAAUUUCGGUAUUAUCUCUGCUGUUAAAUUCAGAACCGCACCGGAACGCCUUGUUAAAGGUGUUAAAUCAAGCUUACGUGGCAAACAAUAUAUCCGUUGAGAAGCUUGACAGAUGGGUGAAUAACCUAAACGCGGAUAAUUUCACUUCUUUUAGUGAUAAUGAAAUAUCACCCAAUGGUAGGGGCUCCGUGAAAGAAUUUCAUAUUACAACCCGCUGCAAGGGUUAUAUAAUACCGAACGUGCUCAUCGACAAUGGAUCGGUACUCAACGUCAUGCCUUUGGCCACAGUUUCCAGGAUUCCGAUGGACUUGUCCUAACUAAGGCCCUGCCAUUCUACAGUAAGGGCAUUCGAUGGAACAAGACGAGAAGUCAUGGGAAAAAUCAAGAUCCCUUUAGAAGUGGGUCCCUACAUAUACGAUGUUAAAUUUCAAGUCAUGGACAUUACACCAUCAUACAAUUGUCUCUUGGGAAGACCUUGGAUCCAUUCUGCUGGAGCAAUCCCAUCAUCCCUCCAUCAAAAGGUGAAAUUUAUCGCGGAUGGCUGUUUGGUCACCGUCGAGGGAGAAGAAGACAUUGUCGCAUCUAUCUCUGCUGACUCGCCAUACAUUGAAGUGAGCAAAGAUUGUGAAAUGAAAGGAUAGAGAAUGGAUAUAAAUGAUAAACUGGGUAAAUAUGUACAGAAAGAAACUAUAGAACUAUAGAAAUAAUGAAAUUCAUGAUCAAAAGAGAAUAACGAAAUUUCGAGGACGAAAUUUAUUUUAAGGGGGAGAGAAAUGUAAUACCCUGAAAAUUUUUACAGUAAGAUAUUAUCCUUGAUAUAGUAAAAUAAGGAAAUAAAGUGACAAAAAGGGAAAUUUUAAGUUAUGUCAAUAUUGAGAAGUAUAUUAUGAUAUAUUAAUUCAAGAAAGGACUAAAUUGUAAAAGUGAGAAAAGUUUUAUUGCACAAGAGUAAAUAUUCAAAAUUUGAGGGGUUAAAGUGUAAAUAUGAAAAAGUUGAAGGACCAAUAGUGUAAAUAAUUUAAGAGUGGAAUGAUCUAGAAACUAAGGAAAAUGGAUGAAUUAGGACCAAAUUGAAUAGAUGAAGAACUAUGAGGGACUAAAUUGUAAUUUUACCAAAUUAAAUGAUGACUCAAGGAUGGAAUUUUAAAAGAUAAUGAAGGGCAAAAUGGUCAAUUGGAAGAGAGAGAAAUCUAGAAAGUAAUAAUGAUGCUAGAGAUAUUUUGAUAUUUUAUAAUUAUUUAAUUAGAUAAAUAUUAUUUUAUUAAUAUUUUAAUAAGAUAUUUUAUUAUUAUUUUAUUAGUAUAUAAAGAAAGAAAGAUGAGAAAUUCUCAUCCAUAUUUUCCCAUGCACUAACGUGAGAGAAAGAGAGGAAGAAAGAAAGUUUAGCUUUCUUUACAAUUUGGUCCUUUUACCGAAAAUUCACCAUUUUCAUCCAAAAAUCAAAUGAAUUUCCAUAGCUACCAAGAGACAAAAAUGCUAAGGAGAGCAUGAGGAGUUAGAAUAUCAAGUUGGAUUCAAGAAAUAGAAGUUGGAGGAGAGAGAAAACCAAGUUAAAGAUUAGUAUCAAUAGAACAAGGUAAGUAUAUCAAGAUUUCAAUAUGUUUUUAAGUUUGUUAUUAUUGACAAAGUAUGGAAAUAAUGUUAUAGUAGAGUUUUCUUACAUAAGGCCCUAUGUUUUUGAUAUGUUAGUGAAGAGAAAAUAAGAGAAAGUGAUGAGAAAUGGUGUAGAAAAAGAAAAUAAGGGUGUUAUAACAUGGUAAUUAAUAGCUUGCACAAAAACAGUUUGGACAGCAGCAGUAGACUAACUUUGAAAAAUCACCAUAAAUUGUAGAAAUCGAAUUAGAAGAUGAAAAAAAUAUGGAAUUAAAUCUUAUUGAGUCUAGUUUCUCAUAGAAGAAAUAGUGUAGAAAUGGAUUUGUAAAUUUUGAGAUAUAAUGAAUUUUGUGAGACAAGUACAGAAUGAAUUCGGGUUCCCCUGUUCUGACUUUGAAAAAUCAUAAAAAAAUUGAAUAAAAAUAAUUAGGGACUUUAAUUUAUACGUAUAAAAUUCCAAAUGAGUCUAUUUUUAAGAGAAACAAACAAUAACAUCAUUUGAAUCCUGUAUGAGAAGAUAAUUAAUUUUUGGUGAAGAAGGGUCAGAACUGUCAGACAGCAGAAUAGGGGUAACUUUAAAGAAUAAACUGUACUUAUUGGCUAAACCAAAAAUUCUGAAAUUUUUAUGGUAAUAAUAUAUAUGAGUCUAGAUUCAGGGAAAAUUAUCGGAUAUUAAUUUGGAGUUCUAUAGGUCCGGAUAUAAAUAAUUUAGUGACUAUGAUGCAGAUAGACAGCUUGAAUAUUCAUAAAAGUAAAUAAUAAAAAUUAUGGAUAAUGUUACUUACAAGUGUGUUAUCUACAUUAAGGAUGUGAAAUGGAGCGGAGAAGGAGGAAAAAUAUGUAUGAAUAUUCAUCUAGCAUGGCUAAUUUGCAUAUUUUAGGCUCAGGGACUAAAUUGAAUAAAAGUAAAACUUUAUGGGUAAUUUUGUAAACAUAUCAGAAAUGACCAAAUUGCAUGAAAUGGAUUAUUUUAUUAUUUAAAUUACAAAAUUGAAUGAAAUUAUUAAUUUAGUUCAAGAUCGAGGGAAAACAUGUUUUAGGGAUUAAAUUGAAAAGUGUUGAAAUUAUGAAAAAUUCUGAUAUUUUAUAGAAUUCAUGGAUUGUUAUCAAUAUAUAUGAGAAUAAUAGCUGGAAAUAAGGAUUAAAUUGCAAUAAUUUUAUUUUCCUGACCCUAAGGAUGAAAUCGUCAUUAAUUAAAAGUUUAGGGGCAAAAUGGUAAUUUUGCCUAAAGCAUUAAUUAAAUGCAUUAGAAUAUGAAAUGAAUAAAAAUGACGAUCAAAUUUAUUUAUAAAGAUCCGAAAGACUCUAAUAUGAGGCUUGAUCGUGGAAAAGAAAAGAUAUUAGAUUAAUGAAAUUAUAAACACAAACAAGCAAUGAGGUAAGUUCGUGUAACUUGAAUUAUAUUCUUAAACGCUUGAGAUUGUAUGUUAUUGAUGUGAAUAUGAUUUGAAUGUUCAUUGUAUGAAAAUUAAUGAAAUAUUGAUAUAUUUGAUAAAAUGGGAAAAAUCCCGUUUGAAUGAAAGGAAAAUUCGAUGGAUCUUUAAAAAGGAAUUGGCGGUAAAAAGGAUCUAGCCCAGACGGGUGAUCCUAUCCUGAUAUAGCCCUCCCGAAGAAUAUGUGGAAAAUGGAUUUAGCCCGAACGGGUAAUCCGAAUUAGGGUCUGAAUUUAGCCUGGACUAGUAAUUCAGAUCCAAGCCCAUUAGAGUAAUUGUCGUUGCAGGGGAUUUAGCUUGGACUGGUAAUCCCGACAAUACUCUAUGAGUUUAUAUUACAGGGGAUUUAGCCUGGACUGGUAAUCCCACUGUAAGGAUAAGGUUCGCGGGAGUGUGCUCUCUGAUAUGAAAUGUGUAAGACCAUGGUUGAAAGAUACCAUGGCAACCUGUGUGUAAGACCAUGGUUGAAAGAUACCAUGGCAACCUGAUAUGAAAUGUGUAAGACCAUGGUUGAAAUAUACCAUGACAACUUGAUAUGAGAUGUGUAAGACCAUGGUUGAAAGAUAACAUGGCAACGUGACAUGAAAAGAAUAAGACCAUGGUUAAAAGAUACCAUGGCAACAUGACAGAAAAUGAGUAAGACCAUAGUUGAAAGACACUAUGGCAUCACGUCAAAGAUAAAUAAGACCGUGGAUGGGAGACGCUAUAACGUCUGUUGAACAAUUGAUAUUCAGGUAAAAUGUAUCAGAUGACGAAUGGUUAUAUGAAAUGGUUGUGUGAAAUGUUUACAAGAACUGGUCAUAUGGAAAUAUAUGUACAAAAGCGUUGUAUGAAAUAAUUAUGAAAAUGGAUAAACGAAAUAAGUAUAAGUACAUGGAAUAUAAUUUAUGUUAAGUUUGAUAUAAGCUAUUACCAGAAUAAAUAUACAUAAAAUAUAUGGAAAUGAUGGAGCAUAAAAUAUUGAUAUAAUGAAAUGAAUGAUAUAUGCUUGUGAAGAAACGGUAAGAGCAUGAUAUGUUUCAUGACAUGUACAUAUAUAAUUAUCUUUGAUAUGUUGAUACAAGGAAAUUAUGUAAGUUGUGACUAUUAUUAAACUCAAGUGCGACAUGUCGAGAAAAGUAGAUCUAUCAAUGUUGAAUUUAUAUGAGAUAUGUGCAAGUAUACUAACAAUGUUGUUGUUUGAUGCUUAUACAAGUGCCAAACUGUUGAUUUAAUGGUAAUAUAUUUAUUUUAUAUGAUGCAUUGAAUCGGUAAGUAUUUUAAUUUUUUUAAGUGAUCUGCAAAUGGUAGUAAUGCUCCGAAACCCUGUUCUGGCAGCGGAUACAGGUUAGGGGUGUUACAAAGAUGCUAUAGAAUAUUCCUUCUGAUCCCUUGAAUUUGUCAAUGCCACAUUCGUCGCUGAGGGAAACAAAAUUCCCGCGCCAAAACUAUCAAGAAAUACCAGGAUGGGUAUCAAAAUGACUGUGGGAAGAGGAGCCCGAGCAAGGAAAGGUUUGGGAAGGUAUCUGCAAGGAAUAGUCAAGGCCUUAAAGCCGGUACAUCACAAAGCUCGAUAUGGUUUAGGGUUCCAGCCGGACAUGCGUCAAAGAAGAAAACAAUGGAAGAAGGAUCAGGAGAGAAGGAUUGCGAGAACUUUGGGCCGAGAAGUAGAAUGGGAGCCCAUAACGUACCCUCCUUUGUCAAAAACAUUUACAUCUGCAGGGAUGAUAUACCCUGGACAGGAUAAUAUACAAAGCACGCUGUUAUUAAUUGAAAGGGGUCUUCAGAAUGUCAGUAUAAAUGUCAUUGACAAAGGAAGUGAGGCAAUUAAAGAUGUUUCAACGAUACGCCCUUGUCCUCCUGGUUUCAUGUUGAACAAUUGGAUUGCCGAGGAUCUUCUUGUAGUUUAUAAGUCUUCAGAGUAAUGCUCAAACAUUAACCCUCUAUUGUGUCCUUAGAUAUAAUAGAAUUCUUUUGUAAGAGCUUGCAUUCGCUCUUUAUCAUUUAAAUGAAUAUCAAUGAAGAUGCAUUUUGUCACGAUCAUUCGCAUUAUCACUAAUUUCAUAACCAUCUUCUCAUUUCAUAGCCUAUCUGUACAUUUGCCUCAUACUAUGCCAUAACAUUUCGUUUAUUGGUUCCAAUACUGGGAUGCCCCUCUAUAGUUUCCUUUUCCAUUCAACUUUCAGGUGCUCAGAUAUCAACAGCAUGAACAAACCCGUUACGAGUCCUGAAAUCGAUUUUGAGAAGGCUAUUUGUUUAGGAGAAUUUGAAGUCGAAGAAAAUGCUGAAGACUAUGUCUCGUCUCCUGACUUGCUAAGAAUGUUGGAACAAGAGGAUAAACAAAUUUUGCCUCAUCAAGAAUCUGUUGAAACAAUAAAUUUGGGAACUGAAGAAAAUAAGCAAGAAGUGAAAAUUGGGACCUCUAUUUCAGAGGAUACCAGGCAUAAUUUGAUUGCUUUGCUUCGCGAGUACAAAGAUGUAUUCUCAUGGUUAUAUCAAGACAUGCAAGAUUGGAUGAAGAUGUAGUGGUCCAUAAGCUCCCAUUAAAGCCAGAAUGCAAACCCAUUCAACAAAAGCUAAGACGAAUGAGACCUGGGAUGUUGUUGAAAAUAAAAGAGGAAGUCAAGAAGCAAUUUGAUGCUGGCUUCCUGCAAGCCUCCAAAUAUCCAGGGUGGGUGGCCAACAUAGUCCCGGUACCAAAGAAAGACGGCAAAGUACGAAUGUGCGUGGAUUAUCAUGACCUAAAUCGAGUAAGUCCCAAAGAUAAUUUUCCCUUACCAUACAUUGAUACGUUGAUGGAUAACACAGCAAAGCAUUCAUUGUUUUCUUUCAUGGAUGGAUUCUCGGGGUAUAAUCAGAUCAAGAUGGCCCCUGAGGAUAUGGAGAAAACUACUUUCAUAACAAUGUGGGCAACAUUCUGCUACAAGGUGAUGCCGUUCGGAUUAAAGAAUGCUGGGGCAACAUAUCAGAGGGCUAUGGUGACGUUAUUCCAUGACAUGAUGCAUAAAGAAAUAGAGGUCUACGUCGACGAUAUGAUUGCUAAAUCUCGAGGGGAAGAAGAGCAUGUAGUGAACCUCAAGAAGUUGUUCGAAAGGCUGAGAAAGUUUCAGCUAAAGCUUAAUCCAGUCAAAUGUACGUUUGGGGUUACCUCGGGAAAGUUGCUAGGCUUCAUUGUCAGUGAAAGAGGUAUCAAGGUUGAUCCAGAUAAAAUAAAAGCCAUUCAAGAGUUACCACCUCCGCACAUGCAAAAAGAAGUCAGAGGAUUUUUAGGAAGGUUGAACUACAUCGCUCGGUUCAUUGCUCAACUCACUAACCAGUGCGACCCAAUUUUUUGACUCCUCUGAAAACAUAAUCCCAGAGAAUGGAACGAGGAAUGCCAAGAGGCUUUUGACAAGAUAAAGCAGUAUUUGUCUAAUCCCCCGGUACUAGUACCGCCAAUUCCAGGCAGACCAUUAAUUUUGUAUCUGACAGUGUUCGAAAAUUCAAUGGGUUGCGUACUGGGGCAACAUGACAAGUCAGGAAAGAAAGAAAAUGCGAUCUACUACCUCAGCAAACAGUUCACUGAAUAUGAGGCAAAGUAUUCGUCCAUAGAAAAAUACUGUUGCACUCUGGUUUGGGUAGCACGGAGACUCAGGCAAUAUAUGAUGUAUCAUACGACAUGGCUAAUUUCAAAGUUGGACCCAAUAAAGUACAUGAUGGAAUCACCUGCACUCUCAGGAAGAAUGGCACGAUGGCAGAUCUUACUAUCAGAAUAUGACAUCGUCUAUGUGAGCCAAAAGUCGAUAAAAGGGAGCGCAAUAGCUGACUUCUUAGCAACUCGAACAACGGAGGAAUACGAGCUAUUGAGAUUUGAUUUCCUAGAUGAAGACUUGAUGUGCAUUACAGAAAAAGAAUGUGUGUCAUCAAAAGAAAAGUCAUGGAAGAUGAGCUUUGAUGGUGUAUCGAAUGCAUUGUGGCAUGGGAUUGGAGCAGUCUUACUAUCACCAGAAGGGAGCCAUUAUCCGUUCACUGCCAGGCUGAAUUUCUUCUAUACCAAUAAUAUAGCGGAAUAUGAGGCUUGCAUCAUGGGACUUCGUGCGGCAAUUGAACUAAACAUCAAAACUUUAGAGGUAUACGGAGACUCAACGUUGGUGAUUUACCAAAUCCGUGGAGAUUGGGAAGUGAGAGAUUCGAAAUUAGUCAAAUACAACGACCUAGUGGCAGGACUGAUUAAAGAAUUCAAAGAAAUAACUUUUAAUUACUUCCCGCGAGAAGAAAACCAACUGGCUGAUGCCCUGGCCACUUUGGCUUCAAUGUUCAAAGCAAACAGAGAAACAAAAAUAAUGCCUCUUCAAAUGAGCAUAUAUGAAGUCCCUACACAUUGUUUCGGCAUUGAAAAGGAGCCAGAUGGACGGCCAUGGUUCUAUGAUGUCUUAGAAUAUAUCAAGAAUCAAAAGUAUCCCGAACAAGCAAAUGAGAAUGACAAAAGAACAAUCAGAAGAAUGGCAGCGGGAUUUGUUCUUGAUGGGGACCUCCUAUACAAAAGAGGAAAAAAUUAAGUGCUCUUGAGAUGUGUGGAUGAUGCCGAAGCUAGAAAAAUACUUGAAGAUGUCCAUGAAAGAAUUUGUGGGACACAUGCCAACGGUUUCACUAUGGCCAGGAAGAUUAUGAGACUCGGUUAUUACUGGCUGACGAUGGAAAGUGACUGCAUUAGUUUUGCACGAAAAUGCCACAAAUGUCAAAUUUAUGGUGAUAAAAUUCAUGUAGCCCCUUCGCCCCUUCGCCUCUUCAUGUCAUGACUUCUCCGUGGCCUUUUUCCAUGUGGGGCAUGGAUAUUAUAGGGCCAAUUUCCCCAAAAGCUUCUAAUGGACACAGGUUUAUUUUUGUGGUCAUUGAUUACUUCACAAAAUGGAUAGAAAUCGCUUCGUUUGCCAAUGUGACGAAGACUGCAGUUUGUAGAUUUUUGAAAAAAGAAAUCAUUUGUCGAUAUGGUUUGCCUGAAAGAAUCAUUUCAGAUAACGCCAUGAAUUUGAACAACAAGAUGAUGAAGGAAGUGUGUGAGCAAUUUCAAAUAAAGCAUCAUAACUCAUCACCCUAUCGCCCAAAAAUGAAUGGAGCGGUUGAAGCGGCCAACAAGAAUAUUAAGAAGAUUAUUAGGAAAAUGACCGAGACAUAUAAAGAUUGGCACGAGAAGCUACCAUUUGCUUUGUAUCCAUAUCGCACAUCUGUGCGGACAUCUACGGGUACAACACCUUUCUCUUUGGUCUAUGGAAUGGAAGCUGUGCUACCCAUCGAAGUUAAGAUCCCCUCUCUACGAGUCUUAAUGGAAUCGAAACUAGAAAAAGCAGAAUGGGUUCAAGCUCGAUAUGACCAGUUAAACCUUAUCGAAGAAAAAUGUUUAAAGGCAAUUUGUCACGGACAGAUGUACCAGAAGAGAAUGAUCGCGGCCUAUGACAAGAAGGUACGUCUAAGAGAAUUCCACGAAGGAGAACUUGUGCUGAGAAAGAUUCUCCCAAUACAAAAAGACCUGCGAGGAAAAUGGGCACCAAAUUGGGAAGGACCAUACAUCAUAAAGAAGGCAUUCUCGGGUGGAGCUUUGAUGCUCACAGAGAUGGAUGAGAAGGAGUUACCGAAUCUAGUGAACUCAGAUGCUGUGAAGAAAUAUUAUGCUUGAAGAAAAAGAAAAUCAAGAUGAAAACCCGAAAAAGGCAUCUUAAAAAGAAAGAAAGAAAGAAACAUCAAGGUGAAAACCCGAAAAGGGCAUCUUGCUUUACACGAAAGAUUAGGAUGAAAACCCGAAAGGGCGUUCUAAUGAAACAAACACUGGGCUUAAAAAAGCAAGGCGUUUUGAACGGUGGGUCAAACGGCGAGACUAUAAUAUUUGAAGCAUUUCUGAAAUAUCGAGAUCUUCUACGCAAGAAGCCAUGCUCGAAAAGAUUCUUGAUUGAAGAAUGUGGAAGAGUUCAUGCGUUGAAUAUCUAGAGCAUUUGUAAUCAUUGAAUGUGAUCCCUUUUCUCUUUACGACACUUUUUACUAUUCUUGGUUAACAUUCUUUGUUUGUUACCUUCGAAAUAAAUGAAUGUGAGGUACCCUUUUUGUCCCUACCUGACCAUUUUGAUGCAUCUUAUUAUGUGGCUCAUUUACAUGAUAAAUAGUGAAAUGACAUACUCUAAACAAAAGAAAUGUUAAGCAUUACCUGGACGAAAAUUUGACAAAUACAAGAGCCUCAAAGCAAGAACAAAGUUCAACCAGGGGCAAAAGAGUGAUAUCUAAGAUACGUUGAUUACUCGUGAAGCUUGAAGAUGGGUACAAAGCCUGAAGAGAAAGUCAAAAGUCAAAGCAAUGAACACAGAUCAUGAAAACUAGUGACAAAAAAGGACAUACGAUAAAUAUGCCUAAGGCGCAUUGCAUAAUCAUGUAGGCAUAAAGGCAUUUAAGACAAACAUGUGCAUAUCAUGAUAACAUCCUGCAUGACAUAUACAGGUACUCUAGCAGAGCAAGAAGAUAUGAUAAUAGCUGCACUGAAUCAAAGGAAAAGACGCCUGAGUUCUACUAAAUGACAGAUUUUGGUAUUUUGAUGAUUUAAUUCAUGUCUUCAAAAAUCAACUCAUAUUGCGAGAGGUGAGUUGAGCCUUUUAAUUUCUGUUUUUAAUUUAUACUUUUCAAAAAUCAACUUAUAUUGCGAGAGGUGAGUUGAGCCUCAGGGCACGCUGAGGUAAUUUCAAUUUCUGUUUGUCAAAAAAAAAUCAACUCAUAUUGCAAGAGAAGAGUUGAGCCUUGGUUCACAUAUUGAGGUAUUUCUAAUUUCUGUUCUUUCAAUUUAUGUUUCAAAAAAAUCAACUCAUAUUGCGAGAGAUGAGUUGAGCCUCGGGGCAUGCUGACGUAAUUUCAAUUUCUAUUUUUCAAUUUCUGCUUUUCAAAAAAAUCAAUUCAUAUUGCGAGAGGUGAGUUGAGCCUCAGGACAUGCUGAGGUAAUUUUAAUUUAUGUCUUUAAUUUCUACUUUUCCAAAAAUCAACUCAUAUUUCGAGAGGUGAGUUGAGCCUUGACUCAUAUGUUGAGGUAUUUUCAAUUACUGUUUGUCAAAAACCAACUCAUAUUGCUAGAGGUGAGUUGGGCCUCGGGUCACACACUGAGGUAUUUUCAAAUUCUGUUUUUAAUUUCUGUUUUCAAAAAUCAACUCAUAUUGCGAGAGUUGAGUUGAGCCUUUUAAUUUAUGUUUUUCAAUUUAUAGAAAAUCAACUCAUAUUGCGAGAGGUGAGUUGAGCCUCGGCUCACAUGCUGAGGUAUUUUCAGUUUCUGUUUUUCAAAUUUCUGUUUUCAAAAAUCAACUCAUGUUGCGAGAGGUGAGUUGAGCCUCAGGACACGCUAAGGUAAUUUCAAUUUCUGUUUUUUUAUUUUUUCUUUUCAAAAAAAUCAACUCAUAUUGCGAGAGGUGAGUUGAGCCCCAACUCACAUGCUGAGGAGUUUUUAAUUUCUAUUUUUUUCAACUCAUAUUGCGAGAAAUGAGUUGAGCCUUGGCUCGUAUACCGAGGUAAUUUCAAUUUUUGUUUUCCAAUUUCUGCUUUUCAAAAAAAUCAACUCAUAUUACGAGAGGUGAGUUGAGCUUUGGCUCACACGCUGAGGUAUUUUAAGUUUCUGUUUGUCAAGAAUCAACUCAUAUUGCGAGAGGUGAGUUAAGCCUUUUAAUUCAUGUUUUCAAAGACCAACUCAUAUUGCAAGAAGUGAGUUGAGCUUUGGCUCACGUGCUGAGCUAUUUUCAGUUUCUGUUUUUUAGUUUAUGUUAUUUAAAGAGUCAAUUCAUAUUGCGAGAAAUGAGUUGAGCUCAAGAUCACAUGCUGAAUAAAGAAUAAAGAUUGAAGCUGAUGGAAUACACCAGACUUGGUCUCCCCAAAGUUGCAGUGGAGCAGGUCAAAAGCUGCAAGUCUUGUCUCCCUGAAGUUGCAGUGAAGCUGAUCAAGGAUAUCAAAUCUUGACUUUCUAGAGUUACAGAAGAGAAGACCAAAACCUCAUCUCACUGAAGCGAUAGAGAAGCGGAUCGAAGUUAUAGACCUAAUCUUUAUGAAGUUACAAGUGAAGCAAAUCGAAGCCAUAAAUCUCAUAGUUACAUUUGAAUAGAUUGAAGCUACAAGGCAUAUGUCAGAAGAUACAGUGGAUUGAACCAAAGCUACAAGAUGCGGUGGACUAGAAUGAGGUUACCUGAAGAAAAGAAGGGCACUGAAGAAGUCAAGACUCGACAAGACUGGGUAAAAUUGGCCUUUCUUUGUAUCUUUGCUCUAUUCCCGUUACACGACAAUGAGCAAAGAAGGGUAGCUGUUAUAGGCCAAUUUUGGGCCUGUUUACAUCACAUAAGCCCAUUCACAUUAAACCUCGAGACCCAAAUAUCAAACCCAAUACACAUCUAAAUUAACCCACAAUUUUAACCCACAACCUAAUUAUAAACAAACUUUAACCCAAAACUAUCCAAACUCAACAAAUUUAACUCAAUACAAAACCCUUAGCCCACUACCCGGUUACAGACCCAUUCACAUUAUAACCCAAAACCCAAUUACACCCUAAACCCACCCUCAGCCUAAAUACCUACAGAAGCCCAAAUCCCACCAAACCCUAGCCCAUCCCAAUCAAAUCAACAACCAAACCCUAGGUGCGUCGCACCUAGUGUCUUCAGCUUUCUGCCUUCUGCCAUGGCCACCAACUCUCCCCACUUGCCCUCUGUCACCGAACUACUCCACCUACAUAGCAAAUGACACACACAACAGCAACGAAAGGGGAAAUAGAUAGCAUAACAAGUGGGCUAUAAAAGUCGAAUGUAAAAAACAGUUUAGGGGGAUUUUUAUUUUCUUUUUCCUGCGAUUGAAAUGAGCAUAGACAUUUAAAACAAAAAGAUAUAGAUCUUUGCAACAUCAAAAAAACAGAAGAACAAAGCAAACUAAAAUACCAAAAGUCAAAAAACGAGGGAUUCAAGGUGAUUUUAAUUCUUUUCUUCUUUUUUAAUUUUGAUUUUGUUCUCAUAUAUGCAUACAUAUUACGAAUAUAAAAAAAUAUAAAAAAAAGAGAAAAAAUAUACCUGUGGCGAUUUUCGGCCACCGUGUAUGGUGGCCGGCACGGCGGCCGGCGUGGCGGGGCGAUGACUGGACCAGGAUUGGAGCUGGAGCCCUAGCAGAGGAAAAAUCAGCCCCUCUCCUCUUUUUUUUUCUCUCAAUAGGCAGAAAUGAAAAUUUUCAAAUUUUUUAAACUUAUAUAGGGGUCUGGAACGGCGUCGUUUUGGGCCUUGCAUUUAAGCACUGAAACGGCGUCGUUUCACCAUGCCCGACCCGUUCGACCCGAACCCGCUUCAGGAUCCGUGUGUUUUUAACUCAAUGGUAUAUUUAUGCAAUUGGUCCUUCCGCAAUUUUAUUUUUUGCAAUCAAGUUAUCUUUGGAUUACAGAUCGACCCUGAAAUUUAAUCAGUUUUAUAAAUUGGUCCCUUUCAAUGAUCAGCGUUUUAAUAACUGGGAAUAUUGCGCUUUCAAUCCCCCUUAGUGUCGCCCGUGUUCUAAUAAGUCCUUCUCUUUGUUUUUAUUUAUUGCCCCAAAACUUUGUUUUUGUUUUAAAUUUAGUCCUUUCUUCAGAUUUAAGUUUAUUUUUGUACUGUCUUUAUUUUCCUUUUUAUAUAUUAUUAUUGUUAUUUUUAUUCCUCUUAUAUUUAUUACUAAUAUAUUAUUAUGAUAGUUACCACUAUAUAUAUAUUACGUAUAUAUUUUUUAUAAUGUAUCUAUGUAAUAUAAUUACUAAGUUUUUUAACAUUAAUAGUGUUUAUAUUUGUAUAUUAUGUAAGUGUUCUAAUACUAUAUCAUAUAUACACAUGCAUUUUUCAUAUUAAUAUAUAUAUAUGUUUUUAAUAUUAUAUUAUUAUGUAUAUGUUUUAAUAUUAUUAGCUAUCUAUCUUUCAUACUAUUUUAUGUACAUUUCUAAUACCAUCGUAUAUUAUAACAUCAUUAUUAUUUAUAUAUAUCUAUGUACGUAUAUAGCGUACGAAUAGUCUUUUUUAUUACCAUUUCUAAUAUAAAUAUAUAUAUACAUCAUAUAGGUUUAUAUACAUAUCAUACAUGUUUCAUUAUUUUUAUUUUUAUUAGUUAUAUAUAUUAUUACUAUUUUAUGUAUAUAUUUUUAUCUUUAUUACUAUUAUUUUUAAUCUUAGUAUAUGUUUUAUAUAUGUACGUAUAUAUCUCUAGUAUAUAUAUAUAGGUAUAUAUCUAUGUAGUAUUGUAAUACGUUUUUUAUUUUCAAUAUGUAUAUAUUAUGUAAAUGUUUUGAUGUUAUAUUAUAUAUGCAUUUUUUAUAUAUUAUGUAUAUAUAUAUUUUUUUCAAUAUUAUUAGUUUUUUUUAUAUACUAUUCUAUGUACAUACUUCCAUAUCACCUUAUAUAUAUAUUCCUAAAUACUAUCAUAUGUAUAGGCAUAUUUUAUUACCAUAUUGUGUGUAUAUUAUUAUUACAUUUAUUUUAUUCCUACUAUAUUUAUUAUUAAUAUUAGUACAUAUAUUCUAUAGUUUUUGUAUACAUUUUUUAUAUAUAGUAUUAUUUUCAUAUAUCCUUAUAGUUAUUACUAUACUUAUUAUUUUAUUCUAAUGUUAUUAUGUAUUCAUUUUAAAAUAUAUAUACAUGUAUUUAUAUAGUAUUAUCAAUGUAUAUAAUUUUCUUUAUGUUAUUAGUAUUUAUAAUGUACUUUGUACAUAUUCAUUAUAUAUUAUAUAGGUAUGCAUUAUGUGUGAAUUUUAGUGUUCCUAUGCACAUACAUCUUUCAAGAUUUAAAUUUUUUUAUAUACAUCAUGUAUAUAUUGACAAUAUAAGUAGUAUAUAUAUAUUUUGACUAUUUCAUGUAUAUAUUUCAAAUAUUAUGUAUAGUAUAUUUCUGACACUACUACUAUUCACAUAUAUAUAUUGGCGUGCAUAUUCUUAAUACCAUUAUUAUUAUAUAUAUUCAUUGUUUUCUCGUAUUUGAUACUAUUAUUACGUUUAAUCUCGCAUGCAUUGUUAUUGUUUUUUUUUCAUUAUUGUCAUAUUCGUUAUUUGCUUCCAUAUAUUUCUGGCUCUUUUAUUUAUUUUUAUUUCACAUCAAUUUGCUUUGCAUUAUUUCGAAAAUCUUAUUUUUGUUUUUAAUAAGUGAGGCAAUGUAUCGAUUUAACAUUAAACCGUAAGUUUCAUCGCUACGUUGGAUGGAAUUUGUCGGCUCGUGUUAAAACAGUAUAUCCUUCUCAAAAACUGAAAACUAAAAUUUCAUGUCUUUUCAAUUGGAUCGCGACUAAAUGUUACAUUGAAUUCGUAUUUUUGAAAUCAAGACGACACACGUUUAUGAGAUACCAAUUUUGGGCGUCGCGAGGGUGCUAAUACCUUCCUCGCGCAUAACCGACUCCCGAACCCUACUUUUUCUCUGGAUUUUAACGUAGACCCAAACUUAGCCUUCUUUUGUUUUAAAAAUAAAUUUAUUAGGUGUCCGAUCACACCUAGGAAAAAGGAUCGGUGGCGACUCCCCCUUUUAUAAAACCGAGAUUCCAGUUUCAAGUUUUCAAUAAAUCACCACAAUUAGCGACCAAGCUAAAAAAAUUUCAUGUCGCUACAUUUCUUGAUCUAAAAUAUCACGUUUGGCUUAUUUAUUAGUCAUAUUAUUCAUAGUGACCCAAAAAUCAUAUUACGGCAAAAAUAAGUUUUUACCCCUAAAUUUUAUCAUAUUUACACUUUUUCCCCUAGGCUCGUAAAAUAAAAUUUAUUCAAUUUCUUUGUACUUUAAGCGUAGUAGAACCAUUUUCAUAACUAUAAGAGUCCAUAGUUUCCAUUAGAACACACUUUUACUACAUAUUUUAUAACUUUUACAAUUUAGUCAUUUUAAGCAUUUUCACCGAAAAUCACAUAGCAAAAGUUGUUUCCCCAACCAUAAACAUGCAUAAUCUACCGUUAAACAUCAAAAUGCACAAAUUUAUAACAUGGUUCAAACCCUAUACCUCUAUCAUAACUAAAAUAAAUGGUAGAAAUAGGUAGAUCUUGUUACGAGGAUUUCAAAAACGUAAAAAUCAUUAAAAACGGGGUAAGAACGGACUUACAGUCGAUCUUGGAAGCUUUGAAAACCCUAGAAAUGGUUUAUUCAUGUAAAAUUUGGCCAAGGAAGAAGAUGGACAAGAAAUUGCGGCUUUUAUUUUGUUUUUAAUUCAUUUUAAGUACUAAAUGACCAAAAUGCUCCUAACUUAAAAAUAUUUUAUUUCACCUAUUUCAUUUCCAUUUUUGUCAAAACAAUUAACCAAUGGUAUAAUUACCAUUUAAGGACCUCCAGUUUAAAAUUUCAUAGCAAUUAGAAACCUCUAUCUUCUAGAACUCAAGUUUUGCACUUUUUACAAUUUAGUCCUUUUGACUAAAUUGAGUGCCCAAGCUUCGAUCAUUCCGUGAAAUUGUAGACAAUAAAAAUAUAAUAAAAAUAAAUUUUUCCUCUUCGAAUUUGUGGUCCCGAAACCACUCUUCCGAUUAGGCCCAAAAUCGGACUGUUACCCUAAUAUAAGCAAAAACCUAUUAUCUGUGUCCAAGUUUACCAAGGACAAUCAGGUAAUGUUUGAGUUUCUUCCUACACAGUGUCAGGUUCAUGAUUUGAAAACCAGGGAGAUACUGCUUCAAGGAUCAGUACAUAAUGAGAUUUACAGGUUGCAUUUAAAUGGCUCUUCCAAGACUAUUUUACCUUCUAGCUUAACUCAGUGUUUUAUUGCUAAUACAAUUGUUCCUUUAAGCAUAUGACAUUCUAGACUAGGAAAUUCAUGUGUCACACUUGAAAAGGCACUACACCAUUGUAAUAUACCAUUUAGUUCAAAUAAAGAGUCCAUUAAUUGUGAUGCUUGUCAUUUAGAGAAAGAGGGUCAUUUCAUAAGUCUUUGUCUAAGUACACUAUACCACUUCAACUAGUGGUUGCUAAUGUUCGGGGACCAACUCCAGUCCCUUCCAAUGGUUUUUGUAAUUAUGUUGCUUUCAUAGACGUGUGUACAAGAUACAUUUAGGUUUAUUUUUUGCGGAGAAAGUCAGAGGUUCUCACUGUUUUCCCUCAAUUUCAUAGGCAAGCUAAAAGGGUUCUUGGCUGCAAACUCAGAGCAUUACAAAUGGACUGGGGAGGAGAAUUUCAACCAUUGAAGUUGUAUUUGUCACAAUAAGGGAUUAUGCAUCAUUUUACAUGUCCAUACACCUUUGAGAAAAAUGGAUUGGUUGAACGUAAACAUAGGAAAAUAGUUUAAGUUGGUUUUUCUAUGCUUGCUCAUGCUUCCAUGCCCUUGACAUACUGGAAUGAUGCUUUUGGCAGUGUAGUGUAUUUGAUAAACAUGUUGCCUUCUCUUCUCUUAGGUAACAUAUCACCUUAUGAAAAGUUAUUUCAUGUACAACCAAAUUAUCGUUCCUUAGAGUCUUUGGAUGCUUGUGCUUUCCCAAUCUUAGAUCCUACAAUACAAACAAGCUAUAUUUCAAGUCAACCCUAUGCACAUUUUUAAGGUACUCCUCAUUACACAAAGGGUACUGUUCUCGAGAUAAUGAAGGAAGAAUAUAUAUCUUGUCGUGUAACAUUUCGUGAAAUUAUGUUUCCAUUACAAACCAACAAAUCAAAAUUUGUUCCUUCAUUGUCUUCUUUACAAUACAAUUCUAAGCUAUUAGUGGUGUCACUAGUCUACCUAUCUAAUACUAUUUUGCCACCUAGUAACUUUUUGAAUAAUGUCUGUACAUAUAGUUCAUCUAGUUCAGUACACACUUUGCAUGAUGAUUCUACAUCUAAACCACCUAGUAGUAAUGUGUCAGACUAGCCAAAACCUCAACACCUUGUUAUCCUUAACUCUUACCUUAUGAUUACACGUAGCAAAGCUGGUAUUCUUAAACCCAAGGCUUACUUAACCAAGGAAACAUGUUUAUCUAAUGCUACUCCUAUUGACAUCCAUGAAGCAAUGAGUAAUGAUCGUUGGAAGAAUGCUGUGCACAGUGAGUUGUAGGACCUUCUCAACAACAAGACAUUGAGUUUUUGUUCACUCUUUCUAAUCAUAGGGCUAUAGGUUGCAAGUGGUUGUUUAAUCUAAAAAGGAAAGUUGAUGGGACUAAAGAAAGGUAUAAAGCACGACUUGUGGCUAAAAGGGUUUUCUUAGCAUUCUAGAUCUAAUUUUAGAUAUACCUUUAGUCCAAUGUUUAGAGUAACAACCAUUUGGACUGUUCUUGCUAUUACAGUCAUGAAUGGAUGAUCAUUAAGGAAAAUUGAUGUCAAUAAUGCAUUCCUUAAUGGGAAUUUCACUGAGGAGAUAUACAUGGAUCAACCACCCAGGUUUGAAGUGCCAGGUAUGUAACACCCCUAACCCAUAACAGUCGCCAGAAUAGGUUAAGAGGCAUUACUGGACUCGUAAUUCAAAACAGAACAAACAUUUAUCAAAUAGUUCUCCCAUUUCAGUCAAAAUCAUUCAUUCAUAUUCUAUAUGUAUUCAAAACAAACAUACAAAGCUUUAAUCAAACCUUAGGGACUAAUUCGAUAUCAUAUAAACAUUUCGAGAACUUAGAAAAAUUUUAAUAUUUAAAGGGACACACGCCUGUGUAAACAGGCCAUGUACCUCACACGGUUACCAGACACGCCCGUGUCAUAAUUCGUGUGAAAAUAGAGUAGGCAUACUGACUUAAACCAAAUGGCCGGAGACACGCCCGUGUGCCUUGGCCAUGGUUGAAACUGACUUGGGUCACACGGUUGACCAUACACCCGUGUGUCUAGCCUGGUGCACCCUUCGAAAUAGCCACACACGCUGGUGUGCUAGGCCAUGUGCCAUUUAAGGGGUAUACUGACUUAUGUCACAUGGUCAACCACACAUCCGUGUGUAAGCCCGUGUGACACACACGACCAAUAGACACACUCGUGUCUUUAGGCCGUAUCGAAAUUGUAGGGUAUACUACCUUAAUUCGAAAGGCUACCUUAGGGGACACACGACUGUGUAGCGUGAUUAUGUGUCGCACACGGCUGAGAUACACGCCUGUGUCCCUAUUCGUAUGGACAAAAAUAGCCUAUUUGCAAAGCCAUUUUUCCACCCUUUCAUCAUAAGCAUACAUGACCAUAUUACACAACCCAAUUGGCAAUCAUUUCACAACUAUUUCAUAUACCAAAUAUAACCAGUUCAACUUGAUAUUCAAUCACCUAUUUACUAUCAUGCAUAAUCCAUUUACCAAACAAUAUAUAUCAAUACAUCACUUGCAUAUUUCAUUGCAUCAAUUCUUGCCAAAACAUAUCAUAUUAUAACAUCUAUACACAACAAAAUAUAAUAUCAAAAUAAGCCAAAUCACAUGGCUUAACUUAUACACAAAAUAUGCCAAACGUAUAACUUCCAAGUGACCAUAACUAAUACCAUUUAAACUAGCCUAUACAUGCCAUAUUUACAUAUCCAUAAGUUCAAAAGUACCAAGCUGAAAUUUGAUAGUGCGAUGUGCAACUUCAACUUGUCCAGAAUGAGUGAGCAACGAGCCUCUAUAAAACAUAGAAAAAGAAACAGAGUAAGCUUAUAGCUUAGUAAGCACGUAUAAUUCAGAAUUAAACUUACCAUUUAAUUAAUCAAAGUAAUAUAAAUAUGUAACCAAUUCAAUUAACCAAUACCUAAUCACAAAUAUUCAUCAAAUGUUAUUCAUUUAUCAAGUACAUAUAAACAUUCAUCAAUACAUUACUUUAUGCAUUCCAAAUUCAUAUAUCAUACUUAUAACAUUAAUAACAUUUAUAACUCGUAGAUUAUCCGCUUAAUAUUAUUUAGACUCGUUGAAUCUAUUAGAACUUCAAAGGAUACUCGAGUGAACUAUGUCAUUAAUUCAUCAAUUCAUCAUCAUACAUGCUCUUUCGAGUCAUGGUCGGUAAGCUCUUUCGAGCUGAAUAGUAAGCUCUAUUGAGCUAAAACGGUAAGCUCCAAUGAGCUGAAACAGUAAGCUCCAAUGAGCUGAAACGAUAAGCUCUUAAGAGCUAUGGUGAGUUCGCAACAAAUGCAGGCGAUAAGCCUAGUAAUACGUCACUCGUAUCCAAAGAAUUCACAUAGUUCAAACGGAGCUUGGUAAUGAAUACAAUAUAUGUCUUCUAUGCAUUCAUUUUUUUCAAGUAUUUCAAUAAUUUACAUUCAAUUCAACAAUUACAAGUAUAGAAAAAUUACUCGUAUAACUGUCGUCUACUCGUCUAUUUUUCGUUUUCCCCGAUCUAAUUCUGGUAUUUGUUUAUCUUGAUCUAUAUAUUAUCAAAUUCAAUAUUUUUAGUAACCAUUUAAUUCAAUUCACACAUAUUUGGCAAAUUACACAUUUGCCCCUAUACUUUUGACUACUUUGCAAUUUAGUCCUUUAUACACAAAAUGGCAAAUUUAUGAAAUUUACCCUUAACCCAUGUAUAGCUGAAUUUCAUAUAACAUCAUAGAAGCCCAUAUUUUUCAUUAUUUCACACUUAUACUACUACUAUAUUUUGUAUUUUCACAAUUUAAUCCCUAUUUGACAUUUUUAUAAAAAAUCACUUUAUAAAACUUGUAAAACAAUCAUCAAGCUUCCAUAAUCUAUCAUUAAGCAUCAAAGAACUCAAGUAUUCAACAAUGGCACAUUUCAAAAUCAUGAACAAUUUCAAAAAUUAAGGUACGGGCUAGCUAGAGUACAAAGCAAUAUUACAAAAACGUAGAAAUUAUUAAAAACGGAUAAAAACUGUACUUUAAUUGAAGAUUUUAAAGUUUCCAAAUGAAAAACCUAUUUUUUUUCUUAUUUUUCUUCUAAUUUCGGUGUAUGAAAGAUGAACACCAUCUUAUUAUUAUUUAGUUUUCAUAUAUCUUAUAUUAUUAACCAAUUUACAAUUAUACCCUUAAUAAUAAAGCAUAAAUAACUUCCAUUUAAUGACCAAAUAUGCCCACUCAAGUUUCAAAUGGUCAAAUAACAUAAUAAGGACUUCCAUAUUAAUAAAACAUAGCUAUUUAAUACCUUUAAACAAUAGUACUCAACUUUUACGUGUUACGCGAUUUAGCCCUUUUUAUAUCAUGCUGUAAACCUUAUUAAAAUAUUAAAAUAAAUGUUUUGGCUUCAAAUUUUUGGUCCUGAAACCAUUAUUCCGAUUUGACCUAAAAACGGGCUAUUAUAAGGUAACAAUGGAUAGAGGCUUGUUUACAGAUUGAACAAGGCAUUGUAUGGUCUUCGCCAAGCUCUUCUUGCAUGAUUUCACACUAUAAGAUAGUACCUAAUUGAUUAGUUUGGGUUUCAUGCUUCGAAAGCUGAUGCUUCAUUAUUCAUUCGAGUAUCUUCAAGAAUUUUUUUGCUGCUCAUGGCUUUUGUAGAUGAUAUAGUCAUCACAAACAGUGCAAAUAGUGAUAUAGACAAAGUGGUGCAUCAAAUUCACAAUAAGUUUACCGUUAAAUACAUGGGCAGGCUUAAUUUUUUCUUAGGUGUUGAAGUUCAACACAAAGCUUGUGAGUUGUUACUUACUCAAAAGAAGGAUAUCUUUGAGUUACUUCACAAAACAUGACUCAUGAGAGCAAAAACUACACCUACACCCAUAGAGUAUUCUCAAACUGUCUACUUUAGAUGGCAGUCCACCAUUUGCUGAUGUUCAUCUAUAUCGCAGUGUGGUUAGAAUGCUUCAGUAUAUGUGUAUUACACGCCCUGAUAUGUCAUUUUGUGUUAACAAGCUCAGCCAAUACAUGAAUUAUCCAAGUGAAAAUCAUUGGAAAGUAGUUAAAUGAGUGUUAAGAUAUCUCAUUGGAACCAUAGAUUAUGGUUUGUACUUCACAAAAGGUCAGUUUGAGUUAGUCUGUUACUCUAACGUUGACUGGGCUUCUUCUGUUGAAGAUUGAUGUUCCAUUAUAGGGUAUUGUGUCUAUCUAAGACCUAACCUUGUUGCAUAGUGUUCCCAGAAGCAAGCAAUGGUGUCCAGGUCAUCAUCAGAAGAGCAUAUCGUAGCUUGGCCAACUGUGUCUUUGAGCUGUUGUGGGAAAAACAAAUGCUAGUUAAAGUUAGUAUGCCAGUUUGUCAGCCACUAGUAGUAUGGUGUAAUAACACUUCUAUAGUAUUAAUAUGGCAAUCCCUACACAUCAUGUUAGGGUAAAACAUGUAGAAAUCAAUCAUCAUUUUGUUGGUGAAAAAGUGCUUGAUGGUGCAGUACAGGUUAACUUUUUUCCCUCAACAGAACAAAAAUGGUUGAUAUUCUCACAAAUCCCAUCACACCCAAACAGUUUACCUCAUUUCGCAAUGCUCUUCGAGUUUUAUCAGUUGUUGAUGACCCUGAUGUUUAAGUUUUAGAAAAUCAUGAGAAUGUUAAAGUAACUAAUUAGGUUCAUUAGUAUGUUAGUUGUUAGUUAGCUAACAGUUAGGUUGUUAGUUCUUGAUAGCAGACUUUGUUAUUGUGUAUAAAAGCAAUAAUAGCUACUGUACAUAUUAGAUGAAUUCAAUGAUCAUCUUUGAUUCUUAAUAUCUUUGUUAUUUUUAUUCUUUGUAUUAGUUUAACACUAAUGAUGGUGGUGAGAAUUGGAGCCGCAAUUUGUGUUUUUGUUAACGAUCACAUCAAUAUCAUUAUUCAUUUCCUGUAUGAAUUAAUGAUGAUGUGGCACUACCAUGUCAACAAUCAAUAAUGGCAUGGAAUUUGUUAACGGUCAUGUCAGCAUUGCCAUUAAAUACAAACGGUUAAAGUUAGUCAAAGGGUCUAUUUGACAAGUUUUGUUAGUUUAUUAGCUCAAUUGGGUGCAAAAAGUUUGAAGGGGCUUAAUUGAAUUUUUUGAAAAUAUUUUAGGGCUUAUUUUACCAAUAAGCCUAAAUGUAAUCAUUCUUUGGAUUGAAUUACAUAUCAUUUGUCACAUGUUGGUUAUACAUUAGUUGUUUUUAUUGUUUCAUAAAAACUAACACCAUUAGUGUUUUUGGGUAAUUUGUGUAACAUUUGACAAGUUUAGGUACAAAAUUAGAUAAAAAAAGUUCAGGUAUCAAAUUGGAAAAAAAUGUUAAAUUUAGAUACCAAAUUGUGUAAAAAAAUAGUUUAGAUAUCAAAUUAGAAAAAAAAUCAAAUUUAAAUACCAAAUGUUAUGUUAACAUUAAUUUAUUAUAAUGAUUAAAUUAUUAAUGUUUUAGUUAAUCUAGAUUUAGAUGGAAAUGAAAAAAUUUGGCAGUUUUCGUUAUCUCCUCUUCCAUGGGGAGGAUUUUAAUACAUAGGCACAGAUAACCUUUAAAGAUCUAAGCCAAUUUCUUACACACUUUUUAUGCCUUCGCAUGUACUAACUUUUAAGUAUAAUAAUUUAGGGUAAACUAGCAUCUCACUCAAUAUAUUUUCUAGUCAUCUAAUUUUUAAAAUUUUAAAAUUGGUCAUCCAAUUAAUCGAGCUUAUUAUUUUUGGUUUAAUUUUGUUUUAUGGAAGGAUGGAAGGGUGUGGCAGUCUGAAAAUUCAUUUAAUAGUUAGUUCAAUCUUUAGCUUUUAUAAAUUAUGUCAAUUUAGUCAUAAUUUUAAAAAAAAAAUUAAUUUUUUAUAUUAUAAAUUAUCUUAAUUGAUCCUAAUUCUUAAAAAAAAUAUAUAUAAAAAAAAUUAUAAAAAUACAUAAAUAUUUUAAAAAAAGAUAAAAAAAAUUAAAUAUAUAUAAAUUACAUUGUAUUUUAUUUAUAAUAAUCAAUUGAUGUUUAAAAAGUACAUAUACCAAAUAAAAAAUUACUCAAAAUUUUACACUAAAAUUAUAAAAAAGUAUUUUUAAAAUUUCCUCAGCCCCCUCCUCUUGACUCUCACGGACUCUCUACCACCAUAUCGACCUCUCAUUCACAAUUCAACGUCUCCCUGGAUCUUUAGAUUUUUUUUGUUGAUUCUAAUUAAAAAAUCAAAAUAAAUAGAGAGCAUUGAAACAUGAACAAAAAUGGCCAAUGAAAAUCAUCCCAUAAACACACAUCAACCAACCUUUAAGAAAUCCAUUGCAACAAACUUCACAUCAACAAAAGAAAGAUUUCAGGCAAAAAAAAAUCCCUUCUUAACCCCCAUUAGUUUUCCUUUUGCCAAUUUUUUCAUUUGUUCUUCGUUGAACUAAACUGGUUCAUCAACGACAAUUUCAAUUUACUUUCAAUAGCAUAAGAAUUAUACUUCACCAAUUUUCGGCAUCCUUGACGCUAAUUUUCACUUUGGAUUUAUUAUAACAGUAAAUCUCUCAGAACAAUCCCCACUGACAAAGAUUACAGCGCCGUGAAUCAAGAACAACACCCAUCAAAAUAGAAAAACCGAAUUAAAAAGCAAAGAGAAGAAAACCACAGCAUUCUCAGCUUCCUUUCAUUUUUGAAGAAAUAUAACCUCUAUAGCAAAACUGCUCGUAGACAUGUCCAUAUUAAUAUUUUCUGAAACGUGGGUGAUAACCUGACCAAAUCAAUCAAAAUAAGAAAUAGAUGAUGAUUGGCGUAAAAUAGGCAAUGAAAUAGAGAAUAACUGAAGGUAAUAGUUACCAUAGCAAAAGUGAGACAUGAACACAUCAUAAUGUAAAUUGACCACAGAAAAGACAUCAUACUUUUAGCUACGGUUCCCAAUAGCAAUAAUGUUAUAACCCAGAAUAUUAAAAAAGUCCCUCUCCAUUUGAAAUAUAGAAAAGAAGAAAUGUAAACGUGCUGAUCACUGAUUUCCCUUCACAAUAAGUUGUGCCUUGUGAAACGCCGCCCAGAGGGUUGAGAAUUCCUUGAUAAGUCAUUGCUAGAACUAGUGAAAAUACGAUCAAUAAUACACCCAUCGUUUCGGGUUUCAUCUUUUCCGCUGCAUCUUCCAGUAUUUUGAACUUUGAAAACUUUUGAAAUCUGAAGGGAUUAUUAUUUAGGAUGUUCACAGUCUUCACGUUAUCGGUUACAAUUUGUCUUUGUAACCCAUCCAUUACCUUACCAACAAUUUGAUUAUAUGCUUGAUUUAAAGUUCCACAAUUAAUUCAUAAAAAUACAUAAUCGGCUCGCUAAUAUCCCACCAUUACCUUACCAACCAAGAUGUUAAUUAGGUUUUUUUAUUUAUUUAUUUUAUAUUGUAAAUUUUAAUUAAACUCAAUUCUAGAAUACGUGGUUGUUGGUAUGCAACUACUUAAGGAUUGUAACGAAAUUUAAUUUUAUAAUAGUUCCCACUAAAAUGAAGUCAAAUAUUCAAAUAUGCUCUUUAUAUACAUAAUUAAUUUAUCUUACUAGAAGACAAAAGUACCUUUAAAUCCAUAACUUAUAUACAUUAAAUUAUAACACACUUAUAAUAUGAAUGAAAUAAAUUAUAUCAUAAAUCUGUAAAAAAAUUUUAAGCAAAAUAUACAGUUUAGAUUAAUAAAGUGGGCCUAAAAAAAAUAAAAGAUCCAAACACAGUCCAGGAGAAACCCAACAAACAACGGGGUUAAAAAAAAAACAUGAAACAACAACAUAUUAAAAGCAAAGGAAAAAAAUUAAAAGUUUCAAAUCCAAGCCCUUGCAGAAAAACUCAUGUCAAAACCAUUUUUUUUAAAAAUGGAUCGACUUUUAUUUAAAACGGAAAAACAAAAAUGGAGUCGCCACUAAUCCUUUUUAUUUAAGUGUAAUCAUAUCACCUAGAGAUUCAAUCAUUUUAAUAAAAGUUUGAAAUUAUUAAAACGAUGUUUUUUAGUCUACAAAAUCCAGAAAAUGAGUUCGGGAGUCGGUUACGCACAAGAAAGGAUUAGCACCUCGAUAAGCCCAAAAUUGGUACCUAAUCGAUUAAUUAAUGUCUUAAUGUCGAAAGUUAAAAACUUAAAAAGGAUUGUAAAAUACGAUCCAUUUUUAUUAAUGUUAAUUUGUGAAAAUCGUUCGAAUAAAUCAAAAUGCAUGCUAAGGACCCUUUUAUCUCGAGGUCACAAAAGAAGUCAUACCCCGUAAGUUAGGACACAACAUGUUGAAUUCCCGAAAAUAAGCUGACCCUUUAUUUUGAUUGAAUCGCAUAAAUUCAAAAGAAUAUGCGGUUAUUUAGGUCAAACGAGGAAAUCGAGACCCCGUAAGUUAAGGUACGACUUCUCGAAUUUCCAAACGCGAAACAUCACCUUUAUUUUCAAAAUUGCUUUCUUUGUACGAAUUUGGAUAAAAUUAAUGAAAUAUUUAAAAAUGAUAUAUGUUUAAUUGAUUAUGUUUUAAAGAAAAAUCAUUUGAAACACGAAUGGGGUUGUACUUGACGAAUAAUGAUAAUGUGACAAAUUUGGCGUAAUAAUAACGUAACAUACAUAAUACAAUAUAAUAUAUAACAUCGAUAUCAAUAAACUAAAAUAUUAAUAUGCAUGGAUAAUAAUAAUGAUGAUAAUGGAAACAAUAAUGUAAAAAAUGAUAAUCAUCAACAAACAAUAAUAAUAAUAAUAAUACGAUAAAAAUGUAAAGAUUAAAAAAAUAAUAAUAUAAUAAUAAAAUCUGAAGUUUUAAAAAUAUAAAAAGGAUAUAAAUAAAUAAAUGGUAAAAUAAAGUAAAAUAAAUGUAUGUAAGGAAAAAAGAAUAGAUAAAUAAAUAUAAAAAAAUAUAAUAGUAAUAGUAAUAAUAAUGCAAAGCUAAUUAAUUUAAUAAUAUGAUAAUAAUAAUAAUAAAUAAGUAAAAUAAAAAGGAAAAUAAUAAAAGAGAAAUAAGGGAAAAUAUAUAAAAAGAAACAAAUAAUAGAUGGAUAGACAAAUAAAUAAAUAAUAACAGCGAAAAAGAAUAAAAACAACAAAUAUUUAAAUGAAGAUAAUAAGAAUAACAAAUAUUUAGAAAGUAAGUAUUAAAAUCCUUAAUAUAUAUGUAUGAGGGAUAUAUAAUAUAAAAAAUAGAUGAAUAAAUAAUAUGAUAAUAAUAACAAUAAUAACGGAAGGAAGAAAAAAAAUAAAGGCAUAAAAAAUACAGAAUGUAAAUAAAAUGAAAAUAAUAAGCAUUUAAAAAAUUAAAGGAAGAUAAAUAAACAAAUAGAAUAUACAGAACAAUCAUACAUAUAAAAUAAGCUUGAAGUUAAAUAAAUAAAGGAAUAGAUUGGGAUUAAAAUAAAAUUCAGUCUAAAUCAUAAUAAAAUAAAUGAAUAAAAAAAGGACUAAAUUGAAAAUCAAAUGAAACGUAAUGGGGCGAAAGUCGAAAUAAAAUAAAAUAGGGGAUUCAUUGCAAUGCGCGAAUGAAAUAGAGGGACCAAAGGGAAAAAUAUCUCCACCCUCCAAAACGCUGCACUUUAAACGGGAUUAAUGUAGCACCCCAAACCCGGCCCAGACGUUAAGCCCGAAUCCGACGUGCCACAUUGAAGUCAAAAACCCGUGUUCCCUUUUUAGUGUUUUAAAAGCCGACUUUUGUCAAACUAACCAAGUGAAUGGAAGCUGGGCACCAGGUAGGAAACCGGAAAAGAGAAGGUCAGCCAUGAAGGCUGCUUAAGUACCAAGCUCUCCAAUUGGAUCCAAUCCUAGACAUGCCCACAUCCACUGCCACACUUGGUUUUAACAAGUUGAAAUUUCUUUGAGUGAUUAUCUUUGGUAAAUCGAAUAUUCGUGACGUCGUGUUAUUAAAAAAAAAGAAACAAGUAUUGUUUUGAAAUCGCGCCCUAAGUCUAGCCCAUUUGAAUUAUUAUCCAUCAAUUUAAAGUUGUUUAAAAUAAUAUAAUCCCAGAAAAUCAAAGAAGAAAAUAAAGUUAAAAUGGCCUUAUUACAACCCAAAAAUUAAAUAGUAAUUAAAAAUAACUUAAGAAAAUCAGUCUCUUUUUCAAACCCAAAAGUAUUCACCAUGGCCACUUUGAAUCCCCUCCGGCUCUAAGUCACCCACAUCAAGGCUCACCUGCAAGGUUAAAGAAGGGGUGAGUUUGGGGAAACUCAGUGUGUAAGGAAAACCCAUUCCAAGCCCAAGUCAGCUCAAGCCCAUUUCCCUAAGCCCAUUCAAGCAACAAUAAUACUGGGCCAGAGCCCUUUUCAGAUUACAAUAAACUAGGCCUUAGCCCCUUAUUCAGAUAACAGUAUGGCCCAUAGGCCCAUUUCAAAAUACAUGCAACAUUAAUAACAUAUACAAGCCCAUUUAGGGAGACUACUCAACCCACCAACCACUACACUCCACCAGUACCAGCCAUACACUCCAUGCGGGGAAUAGCUCAACCCACCCAGCCCAACACUCCACAGUUGCAGCCUUGCUGCUCAGUUAACAGUAAAAUUGAGGCAAAGCCUCCAGUACGUGGACAAGCCACUUUCAGUACUUCCUCCGUCAAUAUCUCAGUCCCAUGCAUCAGAUAAUAACAACACGGCAUGCAGUAAAUAACAACAGUCAAACAUGCAUUUAGGUCAAUUUAACCCUAGGGGUAUUUCGGUAAUUUAUCUCCUAGGGGUAAAACUAUAAAUUUUCCACUUUUAAAGGUAUUUCAGUAAUUUAUCUAUUUUAGGGUUUUUCAUGCAUAUUCCUACCUUUCACGUACUAACAGAAUCACUACCGAGGGUUCUUACCGAAUUGGGCCCGUUGGCCCAUCAUUCCAAUUUUGGCCCAUUAAGCCCAAAAAUAUCGAGGGCACAGAAAUCAUGCACUUUGCAGUCCAAACAUUGCAGCUUACCAAAAGCAUUAAUCGAUUUACCUCACGAGCAUUCGCACACUCGCAAAUCUACAAAAUACCUGUUUUCGGCAUUUCGGCUUUUCGGCUUUUGUCGAUCUAGACUAAGAAAGAGGGUGUUAGUUACACACCUAUUUACGAUGAUAUGCUGACGAGAUCCAUACACGAACUGCCUACAAUUGGAUUACUAACACGUUAAUCUAACUAUUCAAAUACGAACUACGUAUUAACCCCUUACAAUAUUCGGCCAACCACACCUACAGAUCUUAGUAAGCUUAUAAGAAAUCAAUAAGCAACUCAUUAACAAAUUUUUGUCAAUGUUUACCACAUAAUCAUAAUUUCACUGCAAGCUGUCUUCCUGAGCAACAGUCACUAAAUCAUUUAUAACUGGAGCUACGAAACUCCAAAUCAAGUGCCGUUAAUUUUCCCUAAAAAUAGACUCAUAUAUCUUCUAUCCAAAAAAAUUUCAGAAUUUUUGGUUUGGCCAAUCAAUACCAAAUUUUUCUUAAAGUUUCCCAUGUUUCACUGUUUGACUAAUCUGACCACUCUUCAUUUCGAAUCAAAUUUCUCAUUGUACAGAAUUCAAAAUAUGUUCUCGUUUAUUUCAUUUGAAACUAGACUCAACAAGCUUUAAUUAAAUAAUUUAUUCAGCUUCUAAUUCAUCUCCCACAAUUUAUGGUGAUUUUCCAAACUCAUGUUACUGCUGCUGUCCCAAGCAGAUUUAUUACCAAAUUCACUCUUUCACACAUAACUUGCAUGCAUGUUAUUUAAACAUGUACAUCACCAAUCAAUCAUCACAUAUAUAAGAUUUUACUUAAGUAUAAUCUCCAUUUCAUCAUUUUAAAGCACAACAUGUUAGCCGAUUUUUCCCUUUAGCAUCUAAGGCACAUGCAUGAUCAUUUGUUUGGCUCAACUUCACCUAUCUUCCAUUUUUCAUCAAAAGAACAUGAAACAACAACCAUUUCCUUCAUUUUAAUUCAUGACCAAAUGCUCACAACACACUCAAAAACCAAAAUAUGCUUCAAGAGUUAAGGUGGAAUUAAGAAGAACUCAUGAACAUCAAGAUAAAAGCAAACUACCAUGAACUUACCUUCAAUUUUCUUCCCCAAGUGACCGAACAUUCAAGAGCUUUCUCCUCUCCUUUCUCUUCUCUAACUUUUGGCUAUGAUGAGCAAAGAUGGACAAAACUUUGUUCUUUUCACCCCUUUUUCUUUUAAUAAAAUUUCAUAUUUCAUCCAUUUAAUUCUUUAAUACAAAAGACAUGAAAUGCCCAUCAUGGAACAUUUACCUAACCCAUUAUCAUGGAACAUUUACCUAACCCAUUAUCAAUUUUUAUCAAUUGUACCACAAAUUAUGGAUAUCAAGUGCACAUAUUGUCUACCACCAACAUGAUGACCAGCCACUACAUGUAAAAUGGGAGUUUGACAUGCAAAUCCUCCUAUUUUGCACUCCUAUUUAUUUGGCCACUACAAAUUAGCCUAUAGCAUUUUCAAACAUUUUCACAUAGGUCCUAUUUCAUAAUUUCACUCCCUUUUUCUUAUGGAACAAAAAUUAACUAAAAUUUCCGGGUUCUAUCUUAAGCUUGGGCCUUCUAAAGGCCCACAAACAUAAUUAAACCUAUGCCAACAUUCACAGAAUUCCUG